rnacentral:lncRNA from 1 species
CAUCUAUCAAAAUAGAUUAGCUUUAGAUUAUCUAUUAGCAGUGGAAGGAGGUGUAUGCGGAAAGUUUAACCUUAGCAACUGUUGUUUGCAUAUAGAUGAUAAAGGUCAGGCAGUGGCUGAACUCACUAGUCACAUGGUUAAACUUGUGCAUGUACCGACUCAGGUCUGGAAUGGGUAUAAUCCUAAUAGUUGGUUUGGAAGCUGGUAUGAGCAGCUUGGAGGAAUUAAGACAUUAGUAGGAGGGGUAGUGUUUAUCAUAUUCUUAUGUCUUUUUCUGCCUUGUCUAAUUCCAUUAGUAGUAUUAUAGAGAGUACUAUAGAAAGACAGCGGCUCAUGUAAUGGCUGUCUAUAGAUAUGAUCCCCUAGCUCAAAGAGAAUAUAUUCAGGAUGAGGAAUGUUGAAGGAGUUUUUAAGAUCUUUACAAGGUCUACUCUGGUUCAAUGGCUACUUGAGAGAUGUAGGUAAAACUGUGAUUGGUGAUGCAUCUGGAAUAAUUUUGUAUCAGAGGCAUCAAAGGGGGGAAUGUGGUGGAAUUUCGGUGAAUGUAAAUUUAGUAGGCCAAGAUUUCCAUGUGGCAUAUGUGUAUGUUGUGUCAGUUAGUUAGCUACACGUAGCUAGGAUACUGUCAUCAAUAUACUGAGCAUGUGCAGGAAUGCAGGAACUGAAAUUGCACUUAUUUCCUUUGUCUUGGAUGGGCCAUGUGGUUUGACUAGAUGUACAAGUCUAUAUUCUGCUCAUUGAUUGGUUAAAGGUAUAUGUGGGUGUAGCUAUUAAUGGGAGGAGUUAUAGUGCUAUAUAAGGAAUGUACACCAUGUGUUGCUCUCUCAGAUCAUUUGGAACAGGAGUUCAUCUGAGACCCGAUCGGUAAUGUGAAUAAAGGCCUCUUACUUCCUGAAGACUUGUGUCCAAAUCUCUGUGUUUGGCUUCUGCAUGCUUACACGGUAACAGAAUGGCAUGUUGCUACUCGGCCGAGGAGGCGUACGCCAUUCUGGCAAGCAUUGAUAGUGACACUCUGCAAGACAGUGACACUAUCACUGCCUCUGACAUUGAGGCUAUGACUGACUCCUCUAGUGAUGGUGCCCCACCACCACCAACAAGAGGAUGCUCAGUAAUCCCAAUGCCAGAUGGAGACUGGGUGCCCCCCAAACCUGAUGGCCCCAGAUAUUCCCCCAUUUACAGCAACCCCUGGCAUCACUGUUAUGGUGGAUGCUUGGGAGCCCCUAAAAUAUUUUGAUGUGUUCAUGUCAGAGGAAGUAUUUCAGUAGUUGGUUGAGCAAACCAAUUAAUUUGCCAACUAAUAUGUGACUGUGACUCUGGGGUCGCAUUACAAUCGGCAAAAUAUGUGGCACCCCACGGAUCGCGAAGAAAUGUGCAAAUUUUGGGCUCUAACGUUAUGGGCAUUGUCAAAAAGCCUAGUAUUAGGUCCUACUGGUACAAGCACCCCAUCCUGGCUACCCCUCUUUUCCCUUGGGUUAUGAAGAGGGAUCGCUAUGAGCAGCUGCUGCAUUUCCUCCACUUCAACAAUAACACACUGUGCCCCCCAAGAAACGACCCAUUGUUUGACAGGCUGUACAAAAUUCGUCCCUUAAUUGAACUCCUGUCAGACAAAUUCUCCCAAAAUGAUGUCCCUGAAGAAAAUAUUUGUAUAGAUGAGUCCUUAAUGAAGUUUAAAGAUAGAUAACUUUUUAAGCAGUUAAAAAAACUUCUAAACCCUUCUAAACGGUCCCAAUACGGUGUUAAAUUUUACAAAUUGUGUGAAUCCAAAUCUGGAUAUACAUGGGUGUUUCGUAUUUAUCAGGGGAAGGAUAGCCAUCUUGACCCACCAGGAUGCCCUGAUUUUGUGGGUACAUGUGGCAAGAUAGAAACAUAAAAACAUAGCUUGUCUAAUAUGGCUUGGUGCUACUUCCAAGUGCUGUUUCUAAGUGUGUAGUUGGAGAUAUUCUGGAGAGUUUUACAGAAGCUUCAACUGUCUAAGAGUUGUGCUAAGAGCUUUCUUUUCUACUGUUACAGGUAAGAUUUAUCUGUAGGAAAAGGUUACUGAUUGCCCAAGGUUUGAAUUCCUGUUGGUAAUUAUAAGGCAUUUGAUUAAGCUAGUUACUUGCUGUUGAUUGCUGGUUAAUUAGCUAUUGUUUGCAAAUAAGCAGAGGCCUACCCAGGUGUUAAACAUUCCUAGUUGGCGGUGAUUUAAGGAGUUAUAUAAGGCUUGGUCUCAUUAGCUUGUCUAAUAUAGCUUGGUGCUACUUCCAAGUGCUGUUUCUAAGUGUGUAGUUGGAGAUUUUCUGGAGAGUUUUUCAUAAGCUUCAACUGUCUAAGAGUUGUGCUAAGAGCUUUCUUUUCUACUGUUACAGGUAAGAUUCAUCUGUAGGAAAAGGUUACUGAUUGCCCAAGGUUUGAAUUCCUGUUGGUAAUUACAAGGCAUUUGAUUUGAUUAAGCUAGUUACUUGCUGUUGAUUGCUGGUUAAUUAGCUAUUGUUUGCAAAUAAGCAGAGGCCUACCCAGGUGUUAAACAUUCCUAGUGGGCGGUGAUUUAAGGAGUUAUAUAAGACUUGGUCUCAUUAGCUUGUCUAAUAUAGCUUGGUGCUACUUCCAAGUGCUGUUUCUAAGUGUCUAGUUGGAGAUAUUCUGGAGAUAACCUGGAGGUAUUCUGAGGUAUUCUGAGGUAUUCAGGAGGAUAAAGAAAAAAGUUAAGAUUUGUUAGAUUUAAAUUAUUCUCAUAAUUGGAAUGGCAGACUUAGUUCAGUGUAACAAUUGCUAUGCAUUUGUUUCACGUUCCACUUUUUGGAGGUUUGGUUGUUGUCUAAUCUGUAGACAGUUCUCUAUCUUGCGGCAGGAGAUUGUAUUUUUGAAGUCUGAGAUUUGUAAAUUAUCUGGUGAACUAACUCAGACUGGAACUGCUGCAAAGCCACUGCCGCAGAGACAUGCUAGGAAAGGCAGAUGGAUUACUGUAGGAUCUGGUAGACUUAGAGUUGUGGAUAAAAGGCAUUUUGCACAGUCUGUUGCUCUUCAUAAUUCAUUUUCUGCACUUUCAGAGUGUAAUGGUGUUGUGGAGAGAGGCACUGAGGCUAGUGGUGUUGUGGAGAGAGGCACUGAGGCUAGUGGUGUUGUGGAGAGAGGCACUGAGGCUAGCGGUGUUGUGGAGAGAGGCACUGAGGCUAGCGGUGUUGUGGAGAGAGGCACUGAGGCUAGUGGUGUUGUGGAGAGAGGCACUGAGGCUAGUGGUGUUGUGGAGAGAGGCACUGAGGCUAGUGGUGUUGUGGAGAGAGGCACGGAGACUAUGGUGAGGCCUAAUAGAAAGCAGUUNNNNNNNNNNNNNNNNNNNNNNNNNNNNNNNNNNNNNNNNNNNNNNNNNNNNNNNNNNNNNNNNNNNNNNNNNNNNNNNNNNNNNNNNNNNNNNNNNNNNUUGCAAAUAAGUAUAAUGAUAAUAGAUCUCUAGUUAUAUUUCCUUUUUUACUAUGUCUUCUGUCUUAUUGACACGGACUGUGGGCAUUUUGCCCUAUUAAAAAUGGACGUUCUGCAUAUUAUUGCUAUCUGGAAGACUAGACCGAUGAAAGAAAGAUAAUGGCGCAUGCGUCACAGGAAGUGACAUAUCGGAAUAAUACGACCGGACGGAAGAAAUACUUAAGCUGCGUCUGACAGCUGAAGAUAGAAUCUAGCGGUGACUACGAUUGGAUACAAGGAGCAGACUGUUUGGGGAAGGCAAGAAGGGUAUGUGCAAAACCGGAGGUAUAGCCACAUUGAGGAUGGGCAGUACUUCCAGUUGUGACCAUAUAUGGACGUGGGUGGUAUUUUUAUACAUAUGUUUCUAAUUGCACACUUAUGUUGAUGUUUCCUUUUAGUAUAUAAGAGCUCAUUUGAAAACAUAUGCACUUGAGACAGACCUAGUUUAAAGGUUAAAACGUGUUGUGCUAUUCUUUUAUCGUUUUUAAUCUGUUCUCAAAUGAACUUUGGUUUUUAACAAGUUGUUAAAAACCUUUUACUAAGUAUUGUUAUGGACAGAUGAAUUAGAAUAAAAUGGCUAUUUACUAAUGUCUAUUUAUUCUGUGUUUACUAUGUUAAAACUGGCUGCUAGAGUAAAUAUUCCCUUCCCCCCCUACAAUGUGUUCAGUCUCUGUUUCCUCUGUAAAUUCCUCAUCCUGCUAAGCAUCCCCCUUCCCAUCAAGCAAACCUUGUGUAACCAAAAUUCCUGUGUUAACAGCUUCCUUUACUAAUUCCUCCCCCACUUCCUUUGUGCCAGUUAACAGCUAUAUGCCACGUGUAACAAAAUGGAGAAUCACUGUUAAAGUAACUGAAAGAAACUACUCACUCCCCCUGUCAUCGUGUAUCCAGGAGCUGGAAUAUAGGCGGGAGAAGUCUGUAAUGAUGACACUACAUCCUGUAGGGGGGGGUUUAGACAAGACCCCUUAGACUGUUAACCAAUUGUUGAAUGUAUACUGUAUGUUUAAACUGUGACGUAUUUUUGCUUUAAGAAGGAGCCCCCACUCCGGGGAAUAAAGCAUUCCUUGGUUUUUCACUGAUCAGAAACUUUGUCUCUGGUGCGAAUUACUUCUAGGGAAAGCGUGCACGCAUUAAUCAAUCAAUUUGCAAGGUGUAGAUAGACAAAUUAUCAAAGUUUUCUUUGAUCCAAAACAUUUGGCGCCCGAACAGGGACUGAAGGGUUAUGUUACUAAGGAAGCCGUAAAAUCCCAGGACCGGAGAGGAGACCCCCAGAGAUUGGAAAAAAGAGCCUGAUCAUAUGGUAAAUGAGUAACUUACCUAUAUUUUCCCGUCUUUGGAAUUGGUCUGCACUCCGUUCCUUCACUCGGCUUCCUUUGGUUAACGUCUUCAGAUAGGAGAUAUAUAUAUAUAUAUAUAUAUAAAUAAAUAAAUUAAAAAUACAAAUAGAUGGUUGCACUCACGGUUUUUGAAUUAAAAGUCCAAAGUUUAAUGUCAGAUAGUAAAAGCUGUGAUCAACGUUUCAGUCCUUCCAUGAGGACCUUCAUCAGGAUCAUAAAAAAAAAAAAAUUUUAUGAUCCUGAUGAAGGUCCUCAUGGAAGGACUGAAACGUUGAUCACAGCUUUUACUAUCUGACAUUAAACUUUGGACUUUUAAUUCAAAAACCGUGAGUGCAACCAUCUAUUUGUAUUUUUGUAUUUUUUGGGCUAUGCAUGGUUGGCACCCGGUCACAAAGGGACAUUUCAGCGUGAGUGCAGGAACUAUUUUUGCUUUUUUAUAUAUAUAUAUAUAUAUAUAUAUAUAUAUAUAUAUAUAUAUAUAUAUAUAUAUAUAUAUAUAUAUAUAUAUAUAUAUAUAUAUAUAUAUACCCGAAUGUCCCCUUUUAUAUAGAACCUGUCACUUGUCUAUCUACAGCCUGAGUCCUGAGUGUGAGUUUUAUGUGUGAAAGUGUCUGUUUGAGAAUCUAUUUUACUUUCUUUUGAUUAUUGAGGUCGGGUUCAUAGAAAAAACCUGGCGAUUGAGUUCAGGGUGCAAAAACCUGGAGAUUUAGGCCGGAUUAUAUUAAUAUUUUAAUAUUAAAUCUAGGCGUUUCUUUUAUUAUUGAGUUAUCAGGAUNNNNNNNNNNNNNNNNNNNNNNNNNNNNNNNNNNNNNNNNNNNNNNNNNNNNNNNNNNNNNNNNNNNNNNNNNNNNNNNNNNNNNNNNNNNNNNNNNNNNAGUACAUUUCCUGGCGGAUUAUUUUAGAUCAGGAUGACGAUAUCCUGGCGUAUUUGUUUGUUGAAAUAAUAAAAAAACAAACAAAAAAAAAACGAACAAACAAAGAGUUAAGUUGUUGUAUAUGUGCUUGAGUGUUUCUGUGUGUGUGAUCUGAGUUGAUUAUUAGGACUUUGUGGUUUAAUUGCAUCUGUAUAUUGUGCUUUGGCAUGUAUAUUGUGCUUUUGCAUGUAAAUGUCUUGUUGGGUACCAUAUAUGUUAAUUGUAAUCUAUACAAUCUGUAUCGUCACUCUCCUAUUCUAUCUUUUGUCCUAAGGAGAGCUGUGCUUAGGCAAUCACAUGGUUAAUAAACGUUGUGCUUGCAAGUCUUCUCCCCCCCUCCCCUCCUUCUUGGUUGCUUUCUCUUGCUCUGACUGCUAUGAGUAUUGGCUACAGGGGGGGAUGAGGAAUGUAAGGGAAAUCUUCCAGCUGCUGGCCAUUAACUGGCCAUUAGCUGUUGAAAAAAAACAAAAAAAAACAAAGAUCAGAAAUGUUAUGAAACUAGUCUGUACUUACAAUGCAUUGAUUUGUAAACGAGAUGCAGGUCAAGAAAAUUUAGAAUCAGCAGAUAAAGAAAUAAAUUUGAAUAUGUUAACAGAAGACAAAUCAGAUUUAAAUGACCAGUGUAACAAAGUAACAGAGCUGUAAAACUUAAUUUGAAAAUCCAUUAACAAGUAAUGAAAAUUGUGAAAUGUAUUCCAGUUUAUGACAUGUCAGUGGAUGCAUUUACUAAUGCUGAAAUAUUUGAGUCAAAUUUGGACAAAUAUAGCCUAAAUGACGAACAAAGGAAUAGACUAUUUAAAACAUGGCUGCCGACUCAAAUGCAUAUAGACUUAUUGGUAAUUUUCCUGAGGAUCAAUUAAUUAAUUUGUGAAAAAAUUUCAAGAUCUAGAUUCAACUGCAAUUGUAAUUGCUAGAGAAAAAAGUACUUUGAAGGAAGUUGCUUUAUUCUUAGAUAAAGUAAAGAGGUAUCCAGGCAUGAAGGGGUUACACUGACUUGUUAGACACAGAGAAAGAAGUGCAGAUUUCACCCCCUCCUUUCCCCCUUAGAACUCAGUGUGAAAGAGCAAUAAAGACACCUGAGCGCCUCCCAAUUGCCUCAACGGCAGAAUAUAACUAAAGUUAUUUGUGUUUGGUGAACAUUAUUUAAGAUCUUGCAGAUAUUUGAUUCUAGAGUUUAAGCCAGCACAAGAAUAGAGAUAUGUAUUUGUUUGUUUACUAACUUGUUAGUCUGUACUGUUUUUUUUUAUUUUUUUUGUUAGUUUUUUCAUUUUUUUUUUUAUGUAUGUUAUAUUGGUUGUAUGCUAUUAUACAGUAACUCCAAUCAUUUUACAGAAGGGAAAAAAAAAAUAGAUUUAUUCUUUGUUGCUUCUGAGGUUGAUUUAAAAUCUUUGAUUUAAUUCAUGAGAAUGAGAUUUUAAUAUCAUGACUGAUAAUGGAUUAAUGUAUAUUGCAACACCUGGACAUACACAUGGUUUGGAUAUACUGAAGACAAAAGGAAUAAUAUAUGGGAAUGGAUAAGGCUGAUUUCCCGCUAUCCACAGCCACGCCUACUCCUAAAGUAACAUCGCGUCCAUCCUUACUAUGCCCUUUUACUGUAGAAUUACCCGAAUCCUAAUGACCCAUUCCACUACAUGGUGUGACUUGUUUAAGCCUAAGAUAAAUUGGCUGAUCAGGCUACCUGUAUUAACAAUGUCAUCAACGAUGAGUUAGCAUCUGUGGAGAAGUAUCACUUCAGGUUGUCCCAAAUUUUCUUUUAACUUAGGUUUUAGUACAUAAUAAGGCCCAUACCCAACGGCUACAUGCAGCCUUGUAUAGCAGGCCACAUGACAUCUAUUUGUACCAAGCAAGGCCUGCCUGACUCCUCAUUCCUGUCUAACAUUGUUGUCUCCUGCAUAGGUGUAGAUGGCUCUCCUUGGAGUAGCCUGUUAACUAAGCCUUGCUUUGUGGUUACCUUCACCUGUCCAAUUAAUCUGCUAGGUGCAGAUGUCCUUCCCCCCACUUGCAGGCCCCUAUCACCUUAUUAUUUCUUUUGUUCCACACAGUGAAACCUGACCAAGAGGCAAGGGUCCUAGCUAGUUCCCCCAAUACCUUUACCUGAAUUAUACAGGCCCCGAAGCCUGUCCAAGCUCUUACUAUUCCCUAACAGGUUAAGGCUCUGGUGUCGAAUGGUGCCCUGGUUCCCUGAGACUUUCCCUGCAAUAUCACACCUCUCCUUGUGAUGGAUGAAUUCUGUGCAGGAUAGUGUCACCCUGCAGAGAUGAUACUCUAUUUACCUGGCCACUCUUCUGCCACUUCCCAGGGGGGGGAAAUGAUAAGACACUGACUAUUAUUUUUUUUUGCCUUUUCCUCAUGAUCUGUUCCGGAUUUGCUGUCACUACAGUGGACCAAGUAUCUCACCUCAACAAUGUCUGCACAAGAAGCUGAGCUAUAGGCUCCCAUCACAGCAUGCAAGAUCUCUGAAGGAAGACUGAACUCGGAGGAAGCAUGUGGCAACUCUCUGGCUGACCAAGUUGUUCAAGAAGUUGUAAGUGCACUAAGGGAAGUGGACAGAAAAGUGUCUGCUGAAGAAACUCCCAUAUUCGCCAUGUAAGAUCCUACCCACAGACAUCAAGCUCCCGAAGGAAUAACAAGCAGCUACUGACCCUGGAAAGAAAAAAAAAAACCACAAGCUGGAAACAGAAAGGGGCAACCCUUAAAGAAAGGCUGUACUUCAACAAUGUCAAGUUCUGCUUGCCCAAGAACAUAUACUCAGCAGUGGUCCAGUGGGCCUACGGAGCAUCUGUCCAGAACCCUCAUGAACUCUUUUGAUCAAUAAAUACUCUGAAGUACCAGGAAUUGCCUCUCUGACCAACAGUUACUGUAAAUCUUGUGCCAUUUGUGCCAAGGGCAACUCAGGAAGAAUGGAGGAAAGCCCCAAGCAUCUAGCCAAACCUCAUUAUCUCUUCCAGAGGAGUCAAGUUGACUACAUCCAGAAUGCCAAAGAGUGGCUGAUUCAAAUAUGCACUAAUUAUAGCAGACAUGUUUUCAGGAUAGCCAGAGGCCUAUCCAGCCACCAAAGUGAUAACCAAGACCACAUGCUGAGUAGUGCACCGUGAAAGUUACAGAGAUCACCCCGUGGAUUCAUCAUUCCAGAAUCAAGCCUGCCUCUGCAUCAUGUGAAGUAGCAUUUGUUGAUCUUGACAACCCUUUUUGAAACUCCAUUCUUAGAGAACAAAGAGACUUGUUGAAAAUAAAUAAAUAAAUAUCAACAAGUGGGUGUUUUGAUGGCCAUAAUAAUGCCUGACCACCUGCCAUCGAUGGAAAGCCAAAUACCCCAAAAGGGGACCUUGUGAAACUAAAGAGAAACAGACAUACUCCUUACCCUGCAGCCCUCACGUCUGAGGUGCCAUACGCACAGUCAAAGCUUCUUCAGGAUCAUCUGCUUAUCUUGAGUUUGUGGUGAUAUUAAUAUUGAAUGUUUAAAUGAUCUGAAAUUGCCAGUACUAGGGUAGCAUGAGACAAGAUUUCUAAGAUUAAGUAAAUGUGCCCUAGCCAAGGUUAUUAUGUCCAUACACAUAACACAUGACAAUCCCCAAGGUACUCUUGACACACCUCAUUCAUGCUUCAGGACAAAAAUGAGUACCCCUAUAAAGGGUGGUUUUACCCACACAUACAUAUAUUAAUGCCAUAGGGGUGUCAAGGGGGGUACCAAAUGAUUUUAAGGUAAGAAACUAAGUUUGAAUCUAUUCUCCCAAGCAUUACAGCUAAUCAAAUCUGAAUUGGAAGGGAAGAAGUUUAUACAAUAAACAGGAGACCUUUUUCUUACAGGACAUGUAUGACUCAGCUGAAUGGGUAGGUGCCACACACAUGACUGUUAAUCCCCUCAAACCACACAUUAGGACUUUAAAAGACAUGGUAGUCAUCCCAUAUUUGAGGAUACUAGGGUUGUAGAGACAGGUUUCUCUGACACUAACUUGUGACUUGAAUGGAUGAAAUACAAUGCUACUAAACAUAACAAGUCUAACUGCUAUGUCUGCGGAGGAGCGAGGCCUCGCCCAGGUACAAGUAUCCCUGAACCUUCCUCCGGAUAUGAAGUAUGCGUUUUAAGUCUCUACACUCUAUUUAAACCUAAGCGGUCAGCAUGCAAGUCAUGGAAACUUAAUACCCAAUCAUUACUAAAAAUAUUAACCCAGAGGAAGGCAUUACUAUAUAUCCAGGGAACUAUACUUGUUAUGGGAUAUAUGGUGGGAUAGGGCGGUUACAAACUACCUCUCAGAUGACCUUCCAGAAUAGAAUAAGCUUGGAAAUGAUUUUGGCAGGAAAAGGGAGAGUAUGUAAAAUACUCCCAGACUCCAUAACAUGCUGUACCUAUAUUCCAGAUAAUACAGGCCCUAAUGGUAAGGUAACGUUGGCAAUAGAAAAGUUAAAGAGUUUGUCCAACGAGCUGAAAUGAAAUUCUGGGGCCGCAGAUCCAUGGGAAAGAUGGUUUGGAUGGAUGACUGGAUGGCAAGGUGCUCUGGCCCAAAUAGGUGUUGCCAUUUUAAUAACGAUAAUCAUCCUCGCUCUUCUUGUUUGUUGUGUGUUACCUUGUCUUAAGAAAUGCCUACAAAAGACAGUUGAUCAGACAAUCGACCAGACCACCCCGACCUUCCUUCACCAAGAGAUUGACGACAUAGACCGUGAUACACCCUUACAGUCCCACCGCACUAAAUCAACAGCUACUUCCUCUUAAGGACAUUCAGGGAUAGCGUCUGUCUCUACGGGCAGAAGUCUGUCGCGGGAGAAGUAGUGGACAAGCUGCUAUGGGUCACCCGCGCAGUGAAGCGUUCGAGGCCUGUUCAGACAGAUGUGCAAGAUAGCCUUUGUUAUUUUUCUAUAGGGAUAGUAUUAGAGUGAGAGAUAGUAGUUUCUAGUAAAAUUGCCAUUUUAAGGGGGGACUGUUAUGGACAGAUGAAUUAAAAUAAAAUGGCUAUUUACUAAUGUCUAUUUAUUCUGUGUUCACUAUGUUAAAACUGGCUGCUAGAGUAAAUAUUCCCUUCCCCCCCCACAAUGUGUUCAGUUGUCAUUUCCUCUGUAAAUUCCUCGCAUCCUGCUAGCAUCCCCCUUCCCAUCAGAGCAGGCCUCGUGUAACCAAAAAAAUCCUGUGUUAACAGCUUCCUUUCAUACGCUUCCUUUGUGCAAAGUAACAGCUAACAAAAUAGAGAAUCACUGUUAAAGAAACUACUCACUCCCCCUCCCAUCGUGUAUCCAAUAUAGGUGGGAAAAUUCUGUAAUGACGACACUACAUCCUGUAGGGGGGGUUUAGACAAGAUCCCUUAGACUGUUAACCAAUUGUUGAAUGUAUAUUGUAUGUUUAACUGUGACUCUGUACAUGACGUAUUUCUGCUUUAAAAGGAACUCCCACUCCAGGGAAUAAAGCAUUCCUUGGUUUUUCACUGAUCAGAAACUUUGUCUCCGGUGUGAAUUACUUCUAUGGAAAGCGUGCACGCAUUAAUCAAUCAAUUUGGAAGGUGUAGAUAGACAAAUUAUCAAAGUUUUCUUUGAUCCAAAUCAGAAUUAGUGCAUGAAAAGUGUUUAAAUAUCACCAUUUGAUACCCUGGGGUGUCUACUUUCAAAAAAUAUAUAGUUUGAUGGGGGUAUAAUAUGUGUGGGUACAGUAAAUGAGUAAGAGGAAUAUUACAACUAAGCACAAACACCAGAGAAAUGUAAAAAGAGCCCUGGUCCUUAACGGUAAGAAAAUUGAAAAACAGUCUGGUUACUAAGGAGUUAAAUAAUAUUUCUAAAUUAUUAACAGUUUUUUUUCCAUAAGGCACUGUUUGAGCUUAUCUUUUAUUUCAAUAAAGUUUUUAGAGUUUUCAAGAGUUAAAUUCACUUUGUUUACUAAUGAAAUCUUUCCCAGUUAGAUGUUUAGCUCAGUUAAAUUAAAAUUCUUAUUGGAUUGGGCUUGUAAUUUGAUAAAGUGUCCUCUGAUUACUUCUUUAAAAGCACACCAGAGGGUGAUGGGGAUAUCUCUCUAGUCAUAUUUUCUUCAAAAUAUCUUUAACCCCUUAAGACUGCAGCCAAAUGUACAAAUUGUGAUCCAAAAAAAAAAAUUUAAACAAACCACUGAAUUUUACUAUAUGUCUGUUCAACAAUAAUUUACCUCUUUCAUAUUAAAUGCACCCACACUUAUUAUAUAUACUUUUAUUCAGGGGAAACAGGGCUUUCAGUUAACAUCAAAUAUUUAGGUAUGAGACACUUGUGACUACGUGGCUACUAAAAAAGACUGGAUAUACCCCAUUUGCAAUACCUUGGGUUGUCUACUUUUGCAAAUGGUAUGCCAUCACGGGGGUAAUUCUUAUUCCUGUGCUAUCAUACGGUCUCAAAGGCAACGUAACCAAUCUGGCGAAUUUCAAUGUGAAAAAACUGAAACGCAAGCCUUAUAUUUGACUCUGUAACUUUUGAAAACACCAUAAAACCUGUACAUGAGGGGUACUGUUAUACUCAGGAGACUUUGCUGAACACAAGUAUUUGUGUUUCAAAACAGUAAAAAGUAUGCCAGCAAUAAUAUCAUCAGUGUAAGUGCCGUUUGUGUGUGAAAAAUGCAAAAAACUUCACUUUCACUGACGAUAUCAUCGUUGUAAUACAUUUUACGGUUUUGAAACACAAAUAUGUGUAUUCAGCGAUGUCUCCCGAGUAAAACAGUACCUCCCAUGUACAGGUUUUAUUGUGUCUUGGAAAGUUAUAGGGUUAAAUAUAGUGCUAGCUGUUACAAUUGCCUCCGGUCUAGCAGGAGGUUGGAUCGCUUGGAUAUCCUGGUUCCCGAAGUUGGAGAGUCGAACACUGCUUCAAACAGUAGAAACCUGUAAGUGUAGAAUAUCCCACUAGCUAUAGUAAAGCUAGGAUUCCCAGUUCCCUACAACACGAGUCGAGGCUGCGAGUUGAGGGUAAAACGAACUGGGUUUAAUGGCACACAGACAUGGCAAUUUAUGCAAGUCCCCAGGUCCAGAGACAGCACCCUCUGGACCUGAUGGAACACAGGUACAACACAAGGAAUCGACCAAUCACAUUACACUGUAUCAUUCAAAAUAGUACCCGCCCAGCUUGGAGAUAAUGAGUCCAACGGUUAUACAAUCUAGUUAUCUCCAAGCGCCCAAAAUGCUAUGCCUUAUUUUGUCAUAGAAAACAGCAUAAAAAUAUAUAACUUCAACAUUUUGAUGAGAAUACAGCUCGUUCGUCUAUUCAUUCGGUAGCUCAGAUCUGAGCGCAUCAGGUAUACGAAUUGCGCUCAGAUCCCACGAACAGAACAGAUGGUUGCUGUCAUACAAAGUCUCAUUCGUUGCUUUUAUCCGAACUUGGGAUGGCGGCCAUGUUUUAAGGUCGGUCAAUGGACAGUGGGACCUCGACCUAAAACUCAUGGAAUGAGUGUCGGCUACAUAUUUGCACGAACCCCCGCUCUCAGUAUGGUUGUCCCAGCCAUUCGGGAAACGAACAGAGACCACGUGGAAGGGGGUACUUAACCUGCGGUUAACCGCAAAAUAAGCAUUCUAAUUGAGGCCACACGCCAGGAUGUAGGUGGUCCUCGUUUGUGAGUCUUUCGGUAGUUUUCAGUUCAGGGAAAUGUACACGAACUAGGAUGCCCUGCGACCGUCAAUUAGGCUGUGGUUAACCACAGACCGCAGCUCCUUUGGUGGUUAAUUAGAGGCACGCUCCACUCGUAGGGUGGUUCGGUAAUUUCAAAGGGCAGGGUGGUCCGUCAUUCAUAUACACGAAUGCAUAGAUAUAACCGUUUGUGGAAUGGGUUCGUACAGUCUGGAUACCGAACAGAGUAUUGGAUGAACAAAAAGGGUAUUACUUCUAUAACAGUUUGGAGGGUUCCUGUAACACUAGCAAAUUAAAUUCCCUAUACUUUUGACAAAUUGUAAUUAAUAAAAGGACCUAAUUAUGCAAAAUUAUUACAUAUAUGUAUAUAAUUUUUUUUAAUUAAUUUUAUUUAUAUAUAGGUAUACAUAUAGUGAUAUAUACGUAUAUACUUAUGUAUAUAGGUGUAUAUAUAUAUAUUAUUUCAUUCUACGUGUAUUUUGAUAUCAAUAUAUAUAUUAAUAUCAAAAUACAGUUAGAACGAAAUUACACACAUAUAUUUUUUAAUUAUUUAUUUUUUAUUUUUUAACGUAUUUACAUAUUUUAUUUUUUAUUAUAUAUAAAUAUUUAUAUAUAAUUAUAUAUAUAUUCAAUAUCCUUCUACGUGUAUUUUGAUAUUAAUAUAUAUAUAAUUAUAUAUUAAUAUAAAAUACACUUAGACAGUGUAUGUGUAAAUGUGUGUGUGUGUGUGUGUGUGUGUGUGUGUGUAUAUAUAUAUAUAUAUAUAUACACUUAGAUCAUAUACAUAUNNNNNNNNNNNNNNNNNNNNNNNNNNNNNNNNNNNNNNNNNNNNNNNNNNNNNNNNNNNNNNNNNNNNNNNNNNNNNNNNNNNNNNNNNNNNNNNNNNNNGAUCUAAGUAUAUUUUAUUUGUAACUGUAAUUUAUUUUUUUCUUAGAACUAAUAUUUUAUUUUUCACAGGAGAGGGGCAGAGAUAGUGUCAGACACACAGGAUCAGUGAUCACAGUGACUGGCUGUCACUGUGAUCACAGGCAGAUCGUGGUAACUGGCCACAAGGGGANNNNNNNNNNNNNNNNNNNNNNNNNNNNNNNNNNNNNNNNNNNNNNNNNNNNNNNNNNNNNNNNNNNNNNNNNNNNNNNNNNNNNNNNNNNNNNNNNNNNGUGCCUGGGUGGCAGGCAUGCCCCCCACCGCGAUCUGCAGGGGGAUCCCUUAGCUUGCUUAUUUUUUCUUUCCCCUUGAAAAGAACUUACCAAUAAUUAUAUGAAUUAUAAAAUUAAAGUAUAAAGGCUUAACUAGCCUUUAGUCCCUAACCAGAGAAGCCAUCUUUGUUCCCUAGCAGAGCGUACUAUUACGCCCUAUUUUAGGCGGCUUUAAACGCCGCCGGGCGUAAUAGUACGCCCUCCGGUCUUUCCUCACUUACCCCCCGCGGCACGUCCGACCCCCUGGCAGCCCCCCCGGCCAUGUGAGAGUGAGAUCCUUGCGAGGACCUCACAAUCACAUGGCCGGGAUAGCUGCCUCCUGCAUUGCCAGAAAUUGCUGGCUAGAAAUAAAAUUAAAUAAAAUUAAUAAAGGUAAAAAAGUGUAAAAAAAAUAUAUAUACUUAGAUCAUAUAUAUAUUUUUUUGUGUCAAUCAUUUUUAUUGAAGGUAAUUUUUUCAAAUAUUCCGUAAGCAUACGGUAAGUAAAAACGGUAAAUGGUACAAGACAUAUAUAAACAAGUAACAGAACAAUGCUCAUAUUUUCUACUAUCAAAAUCUGUAAGUUGUAUACAUGCGAACCCAUGCCUGCGGCUUAGGGUCUGUGGAAGGUCAGUCAACCUUCGGUCAACCCGACAAGUGAUUGCUGUGCUUUGUAUAACCCUGCGUCCCCAUGUGCGCCCCGAGGUGCAUGUAGAAUGCUUAAGUGUCAACCCUUAUAGGCGGUCAGUCAUGUUAAACCCUCGGGGCCAUUUCGGCAUGUUGCGGUCUAAAUCUUCCCCCUCAGGGAAGGGGAGUAAAACUAGUUGCUCGCUGGUAUUGUGAGGUCAGCCUUGUACCUGUUGCCUCCUCCCCAGCCGUUAUGUCUAGGAGGUUGACCCCCCUUUUCGGCUGUGUCAGUAUGGCCUGUCCGUGUCCUGUAUGUCGUCCAUGAACUUUGGGGUAGUGCGUCCGUCGGAGCAUGUUCCAGACUAAGCCAGUCUGCUGCAGGGUCUCCGUACUGGGUAUAAGUUAAGAGAUAGUACAGGCAAAGGGAGGGGAAGAGAGGAAGGAGAGAGAGAGAGAGAGAGAAAAAAAAAAAAAAACCCACACAUCUCCCCCCCCACCCCAGGUCGGUUCCGCACCCCCGCAACUCAUGCCACAUCUCUCGAGGUAUACUGCCUCCAAGGAUACCACGUCAGGGCGCACUUAUCUGCGCGCUCUCGCAGAGAGGCCGUCAGGAUCUCCAUGUCGUAGAUGGUCUCCACCUUGUCUAUCCAUUGUCUAAGUGUGGGGACUGAUGGACCUUUCCAGUGCAGGGGAAUAAGGGCCUUUGCUGCGUUUAAUAGGUGUAUUGUCAGUGACUUUUUGUAUGCCUGCGUUGGGGUGGGUGUAUGGUGUAGAAGCAUUGGCAGCGGCUGUAGGGGGAUGUCGUCCCCUGUGAUCUCCUUGAUCUUUGCCUUGAUCAUUUGCCAGUAUGGUUUGAUACUGGGGCAUGACCACCAGAUGUGUAGACUGGUGCCCCUUUCUAAGCCGCAUCUCCAACAAUCGCCUGUGUCCGUCCCCUGUAUGUGUCUCAGUGUGUCUGGUGUUCUGUACCAUCGUGUUAACAGUUUGUAGCUGGUUUCCUGGAAUUUCGAGCUAAUUGAGCAUUUAUGUGUGAGGAGGAAUAUUUUGUCCCAUUCUUGGUCCGUCAGCUGUGUACCCAUCUCCUCCUCCCAUCUGCUCGUGUAACCUAGUGGGCAGCUAUCCCCUGACUGCUGGAGCAGAGCAUAUAAGUGUGAUACCCCAUGGGUUAAAUGUCGUCUGUCUGUGCACAAGCGUUCAAAUUCCGUAAGUGUACGGUGGAGUUGGGUUCUCCCCGGGAUUUUGGCAUAGUAGGACCUAACCUGGUGAUAGUGGAAUUUGUCGAGAACAGUAGGCUGCCCGUCUGGCAAUAAGUCCCCCAGCGAUUGCAGCGUUCCCCCCGGACUCCACUGGCGCACAUAGAACCAAUCUGUCCUUUGGAAAUUGCGUAAAGCAGCCGGGUGAAGGCCACCCGCAACCCUCGGGUUGUGUGUAAUAGGCGUAAGCGGGUUUGGGGAGGUGGUGAGUUGGUAGGCAUAUCUUAGUCCGCACCACACCUUGAGAGUUGCGUCUAUCACCGGGUUUUUUGUGUGCAGGUCUGUGUAGGUAUACCCACCCAGCCAGAGCUGCGACGGGACAGCGCCCCGAGUCUGUUGCAGUUCCAUGGGUACCCACCGUUUGGCACUUGGCCGCGCACGCCAGUCUACUACCCUAUGGAGGUGUGUGGCCCUAUAGUAUGAGAUCACUGACGGUAGCCCCAUCCCCCCGGCCACUUUCGGUCUCUCUAGGAUCGACCUACGGAUGCGCGGCUGCCUGUUGUUCCACACAAACCUACGGAUAGCUGUUGUCACCGAGUUGAAGAAUGUCUGGGGGAUCCUGGUGGGUAGUGCCGCAAAGAGAUAUAACAGCCUGGGGAGAAUGUUCAUUUUGACCGCACCAAUACGGCCAAACCAGGAUACGUACCGCUGCGUCCACCGCUGAAGGUCUUGUUGGAUUGCGGAGAGGAGAGGGAGAAAAUUUAGCUUGUAUAUCUGCGUCAGGUCCGCUGGCAGCCAAGUACCCAGGUACCUUAGUUUGGUUGUGCACCAGGAGAAGGCGAACUGGGAGCCCAGCUGACGGGCCCGCUCCUCUCCCUGCAUUAUCGGCAUGGCUGCGGACUUUUCCACGUUGAGUUUUAGGUUGGAUACCUGGUGAUAGGUGUGGAACGCCUGUAAGAGGUUGGGCAUGGAUAUCCUGGGUUGUUCCAUGAAGAAGAGCAUGUCGUCCGCAUAGGCCGCCACUCUGUGCUCUUCAGACCCCACCCUCACCCCCGUUAUGCCCCCGUCCUGUCUGACCGCCUCCAGAAAUGGUUCAAGAGAGAGGGCAAACAGGAGGGGGGACAGGGGACAACCCUGCCGGGUCCCAUUACUAAUCGGGAAGGACUGCGUUAGGGCUCCGUUAAUGCGGAUCCGUGCCGUUGGGGAGGAGUAUAACGCCGAUACCCAGGUUCGUAUAGUUGGACCAAACCCCAUGUGUCUUAGGGUCUCGUCCAAAUAGACCCAGUCCACCCUGUCGAACGCCUUUUCGGCGUCCGUAGAGAGGAGGACUGUGUCCCUUCCCGAGGUUCGUGCGCAAUGUAUGAUGUUCAGGGCUCGUAUCGUGUCGUCCCUGGCCUCUCUGCCCGGAAUAAAGCCAACCUGAUCUGGGUGAAUGAGAUCCGGCAGGAUCCAUGACACCCUCAGGGAGAGAGCUUUGGUAAAUAGCUUCAGGUCCGCAUUUAGCAAUGAGAUUGGUCUAUAACUCGAGCAGUUUGAUGGAUCUUUCCCGUCUUUGGGGAUAACCGUUACUAUCGCCGCCAGGGAGUCCGUGGGGAACCGCCCCCCGUCCUGUAAGGAGUUCAGGCCUGCUAGAAGUCGGGGUAGUAGGGCGUCUCGGAAAGUUCUUAAAUAUGUGAGGGGGAGGCCGUCCGGCCCCGGGGCCCUGUGAGGUUUGGAGCGUUUCAUGGCUGCGGCUAGUUCCUCUAAGGUUAGGGGCGCAUCAAUUUCCUCAGCGAGCUCCGGAGUGAGUUUGCGAGUCACAUGUCGCAUUAGGUAGUCUGUGACCUUCCCACGGUGGUUUUGGGCUUCUGUCCCCUGAGCUGACCUAGCUUGGUUGUAUAGGUCCCUAUAGUAGGCCCUAAAUGCUGACAUAAUGCCCUCUGGUAGUCUGGUGUGCUGUCCGUGUCCGGUGCGUAUCUGGUGAAUAUGUUGGGCUCUACGCUUCUCUCGGAGCACCUGUGCCAGGAGUCGACCGCACUUAUUCGAGUGCUCAUAGAAGUGCCUAGCUGAUUUCCGCAUCGUAUGUAGUAAUCCCUGGGAUAAGUGUGCUUUGAGUGCCCUUCGUGUCUCUAUAAGUCGUAGGUAUGUGUCGUCAUCUAGGCUAUGCUUAUAUGUAUUCUCUAGGUCUGCAAUUCGUGUCGUGAGGUCCAAUAUUUGGCGAGCCCUGUCUUUCUUGCGUUGCGUGCUGAUAGAUAUAAAAUGACCCCUAAUGACGCAUUUGUGGGCUUCCCACAGCAUCAGAGGGGGCAUGUCGGGUGUGUCAUUAGUGUCAAAGUAUUGCGUUAGCGUCUGUAGUGUCUUGGUGCGUAUCUCGAGCUCUGUUAACAUGGUUUCAUUAAGCUUCCAUUGGCGUUCGGUCGGUUUAAAUAAAGGUGAGCUCAUUACCACCGUGUUUGGGGCAUGGUCGGACUGGUUGAUAAUCCCUAUGUGUUACGAGACCAAUCUCGCCACAUUGCAUUGGAGAAGCCUGGUUGCUCGCCUGCUGCCUUUGGACUAUGGCCCCCUUUUAAAAGACUUUAUUUUUGCCUGCAGAAAAGCUGUAUUCGUGCUUUUCUGCCUGGGGUUCAGUAGAUUUGUUUGAAUGUGUUAUACCCCAGAUAGGAAUCCCAUGGAGCCCAUUUGUAUGAAACUGACUGUAAAGACUUUAGCUCCAUGGCGAUUAAACUGUAUUCGUGUGGUCUGAGCGCCAUUCACUUAAUAAUGUGCGCUCGGACCUGAGCUAUCUGGGGAUAUGUUACAUGUCUGUGUUUUAUGUAAUAAAUGUGACUUUAUGUAUUUUAAAGUGUUUUGUGUCUCUUUGCAACCAUGUGCUUAAUGGAGUCUUGUGUCUGUCCUGGGAGAUAAUUGAAUUACUUAUCUCCAGGAUAGAAGACUCUGAAACUGGUUUGGGCCAGAAAGCCAUGCUUCAUUUAGUCACAAAGGACUUUUUACUAACUUUUGAACCCCUUGUCUGAUUUGUGCCAUUUUUGAAUAUGUUGUUCCCCUGAAUGGAUUGAUUGAGAAUAUGUAAUUUUAUGUGAAUGUGAUGUAUGGUUUUGGAGUUAUGAAAGUUGGGUAGAAAGUAUGUUUUAACUGUUUGUAUAAUUGAGUUUCCUCUCAGGAUAAGGGGAGGGAAUAUGUGGGAUGUAACUGUGAUAUGAUUGGUUGUUUUAUCCCUCCCUGUGGGUGGUCCUGUAUUUGAAACACUGUAAUAAAAACCAGGCUGGGUGUGCCAGCACCUCAGACCACUGCUUGACCCUCAACACGGAGCCUUGUCUCGUCUUGGGGGGAUUCACUGUAUGCUGUUAGAGACUGAUUGCCAGGAGUGUAAGCUGCUUGUCUGCUUUUCCUGUUCGUCUGCUAGCAGCUAUUUGGGAGGUUCCAGUUCGGGAGUUGGAGUGCUAUUUUGUAUCCAGUUCGUGAGUUUUGGUGUUCUGCAGUAGCUGUGCCUGGAUCUCUGGAAAGGGGGCCGAUCGCCUAAACGGUUUUUACCCCUUGUGUGCAAAACGGUCCGUUACAAUUGGUGGCAAGCGGCGGGAUCGUUCCCACAGACUACAGGACAGCUACAGGCGACACCAUUCCGUGGAUUUACAAUUUGAGGGCAACGCAUGUCUGAGUACAGCGACCCUGACAGCAACAGCAUGGAACCAGCAGUGUCAUACGAGGAGGAGGACCUGGAUGGCCGGGAUGCAUUAAGGAAAGGCAUCUGGUACCAGGCCCUGGAUAAUGUACAGUACCAGCGGGGUGAGAGUCUCCCCAGUGAAGAGCAGCGGUUGCAGAAGCAAGUGGCCCUGCGGAUGCCCUUCCUGGGAGAGCAGCCCCUAGAUGAAUGGGUGAAGGAAUUGGAGCACCGGGUAUGGCAGGAGAUUUGGCUGGAAGAUGCCUACCAGGCGCUCUGGUGGUAUGGGGCACAGUACCUGCCCUGGACAGCCGAGCAUGACAAGCCAGAGGGAGAGGAGUUUGAUGGUCCUGGCUUGUUAUGGGAGGCUUUUUCAGAGCCUGAAUUUGGGAGCCCUACACAAGCCCGGUUCAGUGAUCUCUUGGAGUGGAGGGAGAGCAGGUAUGACUGGGACGACACUCACGACAUUGAGCAAGACCUGGCUCACCUAGCAACCCUGGAGUGGGAACUGGAGCAGGACUACCGAGAUCUCUUCCACCCCAUUGAGAAGAUUCAGCAGGACAGCAAGGUGACAGAGCCAGAGCCAGACCCAUUCAGAGGGGACGAGAUGGUACAGUUUUACUGGGAAGAACCCCAGGUGGCCGGUAGAGAUGGGACCGAGGUCUCUCCACCGGUCCUGCAGGGAAUUGGGAGCCCAGUCUCCAUUCCCCAGCGGCAGUGUAAAGUGCAGGGAGAGGAGAGCAGUAUCCUCCCUCCCCAGCGGCAGGCUGAGUUACAGGGGGCAGAGGUAGUUGUUCCUGCCCCCCAGCAGCAGAGUGAUAUGCCGGGAAGGCAGUGUGAAGUCCAGGGAGAGGAGAGCAGCGUCCUCCCUCCCCAGCGGCAGGCUGAGUUACAGGGGGCAGAGGUAGUUGUUCCUGCCCCCCAGCAGCAGAGUGAUAUGCCGGGAAGGCAGUGUGAAGUACAGGGAGAGGAGAGCAGUGUCCUCCCUCCCCAGCGACAGGCUGAGCUACAGGGGGCAGAGGUAGUUGUUCCUGCCCCCCAGCAGCCAAGUGAUAUGCCGGGAAGGCAGUGUGAAGUCCAGGGAGAGGAGAGCAGUGUCCUCCCUCCCCAGCGGCAGCGUGAUUUUUUGGGAAUUGGGAGCCCAGUCUCCAUUCCCCAGCGGCAGUAUGAUGUUUUGGGAAUUGGGGGCCCAGUCUCCAUUCCCCAGCGGCAGCACAGAUUAUUGGGAAUUGGGAGCCCCGUCUCCAUUCCCCAGCGGCAGAGUGUCCUACCGGGAAUAGAGAGCCCAGUCUCCUUUCCCCAGCAGCAGGACUCUGUAUUGGGAGCAGAGACAGUCGGUCUCCCUUCCCCGCAGCUGGAAGUAUGUAUGAGAGAGGAGCAUGUUACCCCCUCUCCCCAGCGGCAGCUUAAUGUAUCAGGGGGAGACAGUAAGCCCCACAACUGUGCAGAUGGGACCGUAGUCUCUACACUGCCAGCACAGGGGGUAGGGACGGUCGGUCCUGCCCCCCAGCGACAGGGCUGUUUAGCCAAAGGGGAGACAGUCGGUCUCCCCCUCCAGCAGCAGAGAUGGGUAACCAAAGAGGAGACGGUCGGUCUCCAGCAGCAGGACUGUGCAUCUAAAGGGGAGACAGUCAGUCUCCAGCAGCAGAGCGGUGUAUUUAAAGGGGAGACAGUCGGUCUCCCGCAGCAGAGCGGUGUAUUUAAAGGGGAGACAGUCGGUCUCCCCCUCCAACAACCAGGCUUCAACCAGGCUACCCUCCCAGUAGCGCUGGCAACAGGGCAGAGUGCCGCUGGUCUCUGCCCACGCAGCAACCCACCAAGUCAGCGUACCUGUACCCAGCACAGCCGUGGUGAGGCACCUGGACAUGGACAAGCUUCUUCUCUACCCAGGUGUAGUAACCAUUUAUUGCGGGUGGGCUGUGCUGUGGAUUAUUUGUUGUGGGUGGGCUGCUGGACUAACAAGGGCACUGACCGGCAGGAGGUCAGAUACCCUGUUAGUCUGUUUGGAAAAGGGGAGAGAUGUGACGAGACCAAUCUCGCCACAUUGCAUUGGAGAAGCCUAGUUGCUCGCCUGCUGCCUUUGGACUAUGGCCCCCUUUUAAAAGACUUUAUUUUUGCCUGCAGAAAAGCUGUAUUCGUGCUUUUCUGCCUGGGGUUCAGUAGAUUUGUUUGAUUGUGUUAUACCCCAGAUAGGAAUCCCAUGGAGCCCAUUCGUAUGAAACUGACUGUAAAGACUUUAGCUCCAUGGCGAUUAAACUGUAUUCGUGUGGUCUGAGCGCCAUUCACUUAAUAAUGUGCGCUCGGACCUGAGCUAUCUGGGGAUAUGUUAUAUGUCUGUGUUUUAUGUAAUAAAUGUGACUUUAUGUAUUUUAAAGUGUUUUGUGUCUCUUUGCAACCAUGUGCUUAAUGGAGUCUUGUGUCUGUCCUGGGAGAUAAUUGAAUUACUUAUCUCCAGGAUAGAAAACUCUGAAACUGGUUUGGGCCAGAAAGCCAUGCUUCAUUUAGUCACAAAGGACUUUUUACUAACUUUUGAACCCCUUGUCUGAUUUGUGCCAUUUUGAAUAUGUUGUUCCCCUGAAUGGAUUGAUUGUGAAUAUGUAAUUUUAUGUGAAUGUGAUGUAUGGUUUUGGAGUUAUGAAAGUUGGGUAGAAAGUAUGUUUUAACUGUUUGUAUAAUUGAGUUUCCUCUCAGGAUAAGGGGAGGGAAUAUGUGGGAUGUAACUGUGAUAUGAUUGGUUGUUUUAUCCCUCCCUGUGGGUGGUCCUGUAUUUGAAACACUGUAAUAAAAACCAGGCUGGGUGUGCCAGCACCUCAGACCACUGCUUGACCCUCAACACGGAGCCUUGUCUCGUCUUUGGGGGGAUUUACUGUAUGCUGCUAAGGACUGAUUGCCAGGAGUGUAAACCGCUUGGGAGCUUUUCCUGUUCGUCUGCUAGCGGCUAUUUGGGAGGUUCCAGUUAGGGGGUUGGAGUGCUAUUUUGUAUCCAGUUCGUGAGUUUUGGUGUUCUGCAGUAGCUGUGCCUUUAUCUCUGGAAAGGGGGCCGAUCGCCUAAACGGUUUUUACCCCUUGUGUGCAAAACGGUCCGUUACACUAUGGAAGCGUCUCGGAGAAGCGCAAGGCUCUCCUGGGGCAUGAAGAUGUAGUCUAUCCUACUAUAUUGCCUAUAUACUGACGAGUAAUAGGAGAAAUCUCUAUCGUCCGGGUGGGCUACCCGCCAACAGUCGACCAACCCCAUGCCAGUCAGUGCUCGUCGCAUUGCGCGUAAGCCGUGCUCUGGGACAGUGCUGGUCCCUCUGGUGGUGUCCACCCGGGGGUCCAGGGGAGCGUUAAGAUCCCCUGCCAAUAUCAGCAGGCCGGCCCUGAAUUUUUCUAGUUUGGCCAGUGUUUUGGUAAAGAAUUUAUGCUGUCCGCGGUUAGGGCUAUAAAUGCUUGCGAAAGUGUAGGUGUGGUGUGCGAUGGUGCCCUUCAAGAAGAUGUCUAUGUGGUGGAACGGGACUAUGCGGGAGAACAGAAUCGCCACUCCCAUUUUCUUAGACUCUGGGUGAUUGGCGUAGUACCCCUGUGGAAAGCGUCUAUUCUCAAUCUUCGAAGAGUCCUGACCCCUAAAGUGCGUCUCCUGCAAGAGCGCCACGGACACCUUUUCCGCCCAUAACUGCCUCAAAAGUUGGGACCGCUUCUCCGGGGUAUUUAGGCCCCUCACGUUAUUAGACCACACUUUGAGUUGUGCGGGGGCGAGACUCCCCCCGGCCCCUCAGGGUGAACAGCCCCCGGCCGACUCUGUCUGGGAAGGCAUUGUGUAAUUGACUGUAUGUGGGCGCGGGGGGGAAAAGGGGAGGGCAGGGGAGAGAUGCAGAGAGAGAAAGGAAUGGGAAGGUGGGAGAAGAGAGGGGGAAAAAAACAAACAAACAAAAAAAAAAACGGUUUUGAUAGCAACAGUGAACCUCGGUCGGAUAGAGUUGUUCGGCAGCUACUCGACUGUAGUCCUACCGAACUCAGACUAGUUUGUACACCACGGGUCAGUUGCGUGGGGUGUGAGCAAGGUCGCCUGCGGCGCAGAACAACCUAGUGUGUGUGUCUGGUCCGAGUCCGUCUCCCGGAGCUCCCAACCCGCCAGUCCAAGUGUCGAGUUGUUCCCGUCUCGUGGCCUAUCCGUGUAUGGUGAGUCGGUCUUCACGGGUUGCGCCCGUGUUUCCUUUCCUCCCUGCACCUAGCCCUCGUGAUGCGUGUGCGGUCUCCGUCUAGUUUCAGUUGUCCACCGUCAGCGUUCUACCCCUUGUACCACAGGGAGAGCAUAUGGACCGUCCUACCCCCUCAACCCCCCCAUCAUCCAGAUUCUCCGUCCUACCCCCUCCUGCCCUGCCAAAUUAUCUGUCUCCCCCCCCUCCGAGGACACUCGAGCCUUCUGGCCCUUCUUAGACUUUAGUGGUGCCACUUGUAAGUAAUGCUGAUUGGUUCCUGUGCCCUGUUUCGGUCUAUGCACGAGUUCCUUCGUGCUCCCCCCGGUGCCCGGUCGUCCCCCCUCUCUACCCCUCUCGGCCCUGCAGGGGUCAGGACGUAGACCUUUUGGCCCUCGGGCCCGGGGGGGUGUGACGGGUGCGCUUCCAGCCCCCCCCCCGGGCACCGCCAUGGCUCCCUGGCCCCAAUGAGAAACCCCUUAGGAGACCCACCCCACCUCCCCACAGGCCCCGCCCCCACUCCAGGUCUUGACAUGCUAUUAAUAGAUCCAGUAGAUCGGGUGCUCCUCCCGAACCCGCUCUGCCCCUAUUGAGGCUGUGUGAAGUGGUGGUGGCCAAUUCCCUUCUAUGCUUCCACUUUGCUACCCCCACAUUUCCCGUCCCCCACCCAAGUGCUGAGUUCCCGGGGGUACGGGUCUUAUAGUACACAUAGGGGAGUCCCAGGCCCGGGGAGAAGAACGGUACAUACCCCGGAUGCUCAGUUUCAAGUCCUCAGUUAAUCCAUGUGUGCCUACGGGCAGGUGUGCCCCUUACCCGCGGGGAAGGACGUGGGGGUCUCGGGGUUCCCGGUCCGCGCAAGAACCCCUCCAGGGGCGCGCUCUCGGGUGCUUACAGACUUCCUACUCCUCCGCGGUGCUGGGCCCGCUCCGGUGCGUCGAGGAGCUCCGCGGGGCACCAUCCGUCAGGUGUUCAGCUGGAACUGUAGGGCCCGUGGGCCUGGUCGGCGGGUGAUCAAGGAUCCAGUUAGGGACAGGAAUCUCAGGGAGGCCCGCUGCUCGUAGAAAUCUAGGCACAUCAUUAGGCCAGCGGACUGCCAGCCAGCGAUUCUCAAUUCUUGCCUGCAGGCUGAACGGGAAUCCCCAUUUGUAAGGAAUCCGCUUCUGCUGUAGGAUGCCUGUGAUGGGCUUCAGCGCUCGCCUGGCAUCGAGGGUGAGGGGAGACAGGUCCUGGUAUAGGAAUACAUGCGAGUCCAUGUAGGUGAUGGUGCGCAGUGCCCUGGCCGCUCUCAUGAUACUUUCUUUCAGUUGGAAGGAUUGAAAACAGCACACCAAGUCCCUGGGGAGGCCAUCUCUCCUUGGUGGUCGAAGCACUCGGUGGGCACGCUCUAAUCCGAAAUCCGGUGGAAAACAUGUUUGCCGAGAUUGCCGCGAGUUCAGCUGACAUCUGAGUGAGGGCGUCUCUCCGCGGGGAGUCCUGCGUGGAGCUCGAUCUGCUCAGUGUUCCCGGCGAUCCGGGCGCCAUUUUGUCUGGGCCUCGUGUGCCGGCCAUACAUUGUGGGGUGGACAGGUACUCGUCCAUCGGUCCCGAUUGCUGCGACAUGGCGGUAAGUUGCGGGCCCGGGGCAGUCCCCUUCCUCGGUUUACCCAUUCGGACGGGAGUGGUAACGCUUUUAACACGGGCUAUGGCAGGGUUGGGGCCCGGGAGCUCUCACUGCCUGCGUCCUACUCCAUCGGCAGCCCAGCCACGCCCCCAGAUCAUAUAUAUAUUAUAUAUAUAUGAUCUAAGUAUAUAUAUACAGAUAUACAUACACACACACACACACACACACUGUCUAGGUGUAUUUUACUAUUAAUAUAUAUAUAAUUAUAUAUAUAUAUAUAUAUAUAUAUAUAUUAAUAUCAAAUUACACGUAGACUGAUACUGAUUUAAUAUAUAUAUAUAAUUAUUGUUAUAUAUAUAUUUAUAUAUAAUAUAAAAAAUUAAAUAUGUAAAUACAUUAAAAAAUUAUAUCGCCAGUAAAAGUGAAGUUUUUUGAAUUUUUCACGCACAAACAGCACUUACAUGGACGAUAUUAUUGCUGCGAUACUUUUUACUGUUUUGAAACACAAAUAUUUGUGUUCAGUGAAGUCUCCCGAGUACAACAGUACCCCUCAUGUACAGGUUUUAUGGUGUUUUCAAAAGUUACAGUGUCAAAUAUAAGGGUUGUGUUUCAUUUUUUUCACAUUAAAAUUCACCAGAUUGGUUAGGUUGCCUUUGAGACCCUAUGGUAGCCCAAGAAUGAAAAUUACCCCUAUGAUGGCAUACCAUUUGCAAAAUAAGACAACCCAAGGUAUUGCAAACGGGGUAUGUCCAGUCUUUUUUAGUAGCCACUUAGUCACAAACACUGGCCAAAAUUGGCGUUUUUUGCAUUUUUAACACACAAACAAAUACUAACGCUAACUUUGGCCACAUCCAAUUUAUUACUUACAAAUUGUUUUUUCUCUUUCCCUUUUUUUUUCCCGCUCUCUCGUUUUUUGGUUCCACAUUCUUUAUGCUCUUUAUUGUGCAUCAACACUUGGUUAAAUGUCUAUAGGAUAGUGACAUUUUUGAAUGUAUAUUACUGAUUUCUGAUAUAGGCCUGAGACAUACUGAGCAAAUAUCGGACUUCAUUAGAGAUGUGUUCACAGAACUAGAAGGACUCCAUUCUUUAUUGAUCUUCUCUGCAUACCACUGUUCAUUUUUUAUUUUUCUUUAAAGCUUUGAUUGUUUUCCCCUUGCCGCAGGCAGUUUUCUCUUAUCCCAACUGGGGCCUAAUACCCUGAGAUGGAGAAUUAUUUUUUAUUCUCCCUCAUGGCCCUUUUUCUAAACAUAGUUUUUUUUCUCUCCUCGUAUAGGGGAAUUUAUCCAAGUUUAUCAUUCCCCAUGUGGCGAAACCGGCCUCGCCACGUGUCCUUGGAGGGGGCUGCUUGCCCGCCUCUUGCCUUUGGACUAUGGACCAGACUUUAUGUGAAUGUGUUAACCCAGAUAGCUAUGCCAAGGAGCCCAUUCGUGUAGUUAAAGACUUCGGCUCCAUGGCAAUUGAACUGUGUGAAUAGGAUCUGAGCGCUAUUCGGUAGUUUUGUGCGCUCAGAUCCCAGCUAUCUGGGGAUAUGUGAAAUGUCUGUGUGUUAUGUGUAAAAGGUGACUUUAUGUAUUUUAAAGUGUUUUGUGUCUUUUUGCAACUAUGUGCUUAAUGGAGUCUUGUGUCUGUCCUGGGAGAUAAUUGAAUUACUUAUCUCCAGGAUAGAAGACUCUGAAACUGGUUUGGGCCAGAAAGCCAUGCUUCAUUUAGUCACAAAGGACUUUUUACUAACUUUUGAACCCUUUGUCUGAUUUGUGCCAUUUUUGAAUAUGUUGUUCCCCUGAAUGGAUUGAUUGUGAAUAUGUAAUUUCAUGUGAAUGUGAUGUAUGGUUUUGGAGUUAUGAAAGUUGGGUAGAAAGUAUGUUUUAACUGUAUGUAUAAUUGAGUUUCCUCUCAGAAUAAGGGGAGGGAAUAUGUGGGAUGUAACUGUGAUGUGAUUGGUUGUUUUGUAACGCCCUGUGGGCUGUACUAUGUUUGUGGAUUGGGAAUAAAAGAGACUGUAUGUGACAGUACAGGAGUUCCUGUUUUAACCCUCAAAGUGAAGUGUCGUCUCAUUAUUGGGGGAAGGAUUUAUUGUAUGUUGUUCCAGUUUGACUGCUAGGAGAGUAAACCUAUUCGUAUGGUUCCUAUUCAACUGUCUACAGCAUUCAUAUGCUCGGGAGAAUUAAUUUGUUUCUCCGGUUCAGUGAUUGUGGUGUCUGCCAGAGUGCUUGGAGUCCUCAGGAAGCGCUAGGAGCAUCCUUCAACAGAGGUACCCAGUCGGGGUGCCAGGCGAUCCGUUACAUUGGUGGCAAGCGGUGGGAUGGCGUCCUAGUGCGAGGUAAAGCAGCUCAGAGACACAGUUCGUUUGGAUUUACAAAUUGAAGGCGACACUAGUGUUUAUACAGCGUCCCUGUCUACAUAAAGAUUUGGGAAAAUGGGGUUCGUGGAUCCUUGGGCAACACGCACACCUGAGGAAGAGAGUGAAUUGGAAUGGAGAGAUAUUGCCCGGCAAGAACUAUGGUACAAUGCCCUGGAGGAAGUCCAGUAUCAACGGCAGCAGCGCCUUCCUGGUGUCGCAUACCGGUUGGAGGAACAAAUGGCCUGGCGGAUGCCGCUUCUGGGAGACCAACCCGGAGGUCAGCAGGUCAGACAACUUGAGUACCUCGUGGAAAGGGAACUGAGCCUUGACGCCUCAUACCGGGCACUGUGGUGGUGCACUGUCCAGCCAGAGACAUGGAGGGUAGAGGGCAUCCAGCCGGAGGGGGAGAACUACACUAGCCCUGGCCUGUUGUGGAAGGCCUUAGCAGAAGACGUCGACUUUGGCAGUCCAGCAGAGUCACGGUACUGGGCUAUCUUUUAUUACCGAGGUGAGAUGGUACAGGGCCCAAGAUCUAUGGGACUGGGACAAGACCUCCACCAUUUGGCUGCCAUGGAACGACAGCUAGAGAUGGACUAUGUGGAACUACUAAACUCAUGUCAGCCACAGGGCAUGGACACAGAACAGGAAAACUGGCUGGGGGACCCAGACCUGCCAACCUACAGCUGGGAAAACGCAGCCGAGGAACCCCCUGCUUCACUACCAGCUGCAGAAGUAGGGGACCUCAUAGACUGGUCCUGGGAAGACCCACAAAUGGCAGGUGGAGAUGGGAUGGCGGUCUCUCUACCGGCCCUACAGGGAUGCUGGGCGGUCGGCCCAGAUCUCCAGCGGCAGUAUAUAUCACAGGGAGCUGAAGGUGCUGUCCUUCCUCCCCAGCGGCAGUGUGAGUUCCAGGGAGCCGAAGGUGCUAUCCUUCCUCCCCAGCAACAGUGUGAGUUCCAGGGAGCCAAAGGUGCUGUCCUUCCUCCCCAGCGGCAGUCUUUUUCCCAGGGAACGGAAGGUGCAGUCCUUCCUCCCCAACGGCAGUGUGUCCUGCAGGAAGCGGAGACAGUCUGUCUUUCACCCCAGCCGCAGGACAAAAUAUUGAAAGGGGAGACAGUUGGUCCCCCUCUCCACCAGCAAAGAGAGUGUCAGGGAGAGGAGCAGGCUACCCCCUCUCCCCAGCGGCUGUCUACAGUUCAGAGAGAGGAGCUUGUUACACCCUCUCUCCAGCGGCAGCCUAACCCACCAAGGGGAGAUGUUAAGCCCCACAACUAUGCAGAUGGGACCGUAGUCUCUGCACUUGCAGCACCAGGGGUAGGGACAGUCGGUCCUGUCCCCAGCCACAGAGCAGUGUAUCCAGAGGGGAGACAGUCGGUCUCCCCCUCCCACAACCAGGCUCCAACCAGGCUACUUCAGUGGUAGCGCUGGCACCUGGGCAGAGUACCGCUGGUCUCUGCCCACUCAGCAACCCACCAAGGCAUUCUACCAGCCCCCCGUACAGCCGUGGUGAGGCACCUGGACACGGACAACUUGCUAUUUUAUCCAGGUGUAGUAACCAGUUAUUGUGUGUGGGCUGUAUUGCUGUUUGUGCUUCGUGGGUGGGUUGCUGGACUAACCAGGGCACUGACCGGCAGGAGGUCAGAUACCCUGUUAGUCUGGAUGGUAAAGGGGAGAAAUGUGGCGAAACCGACCUCGCCACGUGUCCUUGGAGGGGGCUGCUUGCCCGCCUCUUGCCUUUGGACUAUGCACUGUGACUUUAUGUGAAUGUGCCAACUCAGAUAUUACGCCAUGGAGUCAUCUCGUGUAGUUAAAGACUUUGGCUCCAUGGCAAUUGAAUCAGGGGAUUAGGAUCUGAGCGCCAUUCGUAGUUUUGUGGUAGCCAGAUCCCAGCCAUUCGGGGAUAUGUGAAAUGUCUGUGUAAGCGCGUGUAAAAGGUGACUUUUAUGUAUUUUAAAGUGUUUUGCGUCUUUUGCAACCAUGUGCUUAAUGGACUUUGUGGCUCCGUCCUGGGAGAGAUAAUUGAAUUACUUAUCUCCAGGAUAGAAGACUCUGAAACUGGUUUUGGGCCAGAAAGCCAUGCUUCAUUUACGUCACAAAGGACUUUUACUAACUUUUGAACCCCUGGUCGGAUUCAUGCCAUUUUUAAAUAUGUUGUUCCCCUGAAUGGAUUGAUUGUGAAUAUGUAAUUUUAUGUGAAUGUGAUGUAUGGUUUUAAAGUUAUGAAAGUUGGGUAGAAAGUAUGUUUUUACUGUAUGUGUAAUUGAGUUUCCUCUCAGGAUAAGGGGAGGGAAUAUGUGGGAUGUAACUGAUAUGUGAUUGGUUGUUUUGUAACGCCCUGUGGGCUGUACUAUGUUUGUGGAUUGGGAAUAAAAGAGACUGUAUGUGACAGUACAGGAGUUCCUGUUUUAACCCUCAAAGUGAAGUGUCGUCUCAUUAUUGGGGGAAGGAUUUAUUGUAUGCUGUUCCAGUUUGACUGCUAGGAGAGUAAACCUAUUCGUAUGGUUCCUAUUCAACUGUCUACAGCAUUCAUAUGCUUGAGAGAAGGUAUACGCUUCUCUGGUUCGGUGAUUGUGGUGUCGGCUGCAGUGCUUGGAGUCCUCAGGAAGCGCUAGGAGCAUCUUUCAACGGAGGUACCCAGUCGGGGUGCCAGGCGAUCCGUUACACCCCACUUUUUAUUUUUCCUUUUUAUCCCAUCCAUUUACUAAUGCACUGUAAGCAAUUCAAGAAGCUAACAGGUUAUGCUUCAAAUGUUUUAGCACGCUCACUCUUGUCUAAACAAAUGUAUUUGUUAUUACGAUUGUUGGAUUUCAUAACUCUCCUCUUGGGACGCGGGCCUUCGGGCUCCCACAUUUCUAUACGAUCUCUUUUUAAUGGAUGUACUCUGAUUUGAGUCAUGGUCAUUAAACUCAUGUCAUUUAAUGUGAGGGGCCUGAACACCGCUCACAAGAGGCGACUAUUGUUCAAAGAAGUCAAAUCCAACAAAUCAAAUAUUGUCUGUGUGACGAGACCAAUCUCGCCACAUUGCAUUGGAGAAGCCUGGUUACUCGCCUGCUGCCUUUGGACUAUGGCCCCCUGUUAAAAGACAUCUUUUUUUUACCUGCAGAAAAGUUUAAUUCGUGCUUUUCUGCCUGGGGUUUGGUAGUUUUGGUUGAAUGUGUUAUACCCCAGAUAGGAAUCCCAUGGAGCCCAUUCAUAUGAAACUGACUGUAAAGACUUUGGCUCCAUGGUGAUUAAACUGUAUUUGUGUGGUCUGAGCGCCAUUCACUUAAUAAUGUGCGCUCAGACCUGAGCUAUCUGGGGAUAUGUUACAUGUCUGUGUUUUAUGUAAUAAAUGUGACUUUAUGUAUUUUAAAGUGUUUUGUGUCUUUUUGCAACCAUGUGCUUAAUGGAGUCUUGUGUCUGUCCUGGGAGAUAAUUGAAUUACUUAUCUCCAGGAUAGAAGACUCUGAAACUGGUUUGGGCCAGAAAGCCAUGCUUCAUUUAGUCACAAAGGACUUUUUACUAACUUUUGAACCCCUUGUCUGAUUUGUGCCAUUUUUGAAUAUGUUGUUCCCCUGAAUGGAUUGAUUGAGAAUAUGUAAUUUUAUGUGAAUGUGAUGUAUGGUUUUGGAGUUAUGAAAGUUGGGUAGAAAGUAUGUUUUAACUGUUUGUAUAAUUGAGUUUCCUCUCAGGAUAAGGGGAGGGAAUAUGUGGGAUGUAACUGUGAUAUGAUUGGUUGUUUUAUCCCUCCCUGUGGGUGGUCCUGUAUUUGAAACACUGUAAUAAAAACCAGGCUGGGUGUGCCAGCACCUCAGACCACUGCUUGACCCUCAACACGGAGCCUUGUCUCGUUCUUGGGGGGAUUCACUGUAUGCUGUUAGAGACUGAUUGCCAGGAGUGUAAGCUGCUUUUUCCUGUUCAUCUGCUAGCAGCUAUUUGGGAGGUUCCAGUUCGGGAGUUGGAGUGCUAUUUUGUAUCCAGUUUGGGAGUUUGGUGUUCUGCAGUAGCUGUGCCUGUAUCUCUGGAAAGGGGGCCGAUCGCCUAAACGGUUUUUACCCCUUGUGUGCAAAACGGUCCGUUACAAUUGGUGGCAGCGGCGGGAUCGUUCCUACAGCCAGAAGGACAGCUACAGGAGACACCGUUUCUUUGGAUUUACAAGUGGGGGCAACGCAUGUCCCAGUACAGCGACCCUAAAAGCAACAGAAUGGAACCAGCAGUGUUAUACAAGGAGGAGGACCUGGAUGGCCGGGAUGCAUUAAGGAAAGGCAUCUGGUACCAGGCCCUGGAUAAUGUACAAUACCAGCGGGGUGAGAGUCUCCCCAGUGAAGAGCAGCGGUUGCAGAAACAAGUGGCCCUGCGGAUGCCCUUCCUGGGAGAGCAGCCCCUGGAGGAAUGGGUGAAGGAACUAGAGCAUCGGGUAUGGCAGGAGCUAUGGCUGGAGGAUGCCUACCAGGCGCUCUGGUGGUAUAUGGCACAGUAUAUACCCUGGACAGCUGAGCAUGACAAGCCAGAGGGAGAGGAGUUUGAUGGUCCUGGCUUGUUAUGGGAGUCCUUUGCAGAGCCUGACUUCGGGAGCCCUGCGCAGAACAGACUUCAGGAAAUUUUCUACGAGAGGGAGGCUAGGCAUGACUGGGAUGACCCCCAUGAGGUAGAGCAAGACCUGGCUCACCUAGCAACCCUGGAGUGGGAACUGGAGCAGGACUACCGAGAUCUCUUCCACUCCAUUGGGAAGGCUCCGCAGGACAGCAGAGUGACAGAUCCAGUCCCAGACCCAUUCAGCUGGGAAGAUAUUGUUGAAAUUUACUGGGAGGAACCCCAGGCGGCAGGUGGAGAGGGGACCGAGGUCUCUCCACCGGUAUUGCAGGGAAUUGGGAGCCCGAGCUCCAUUUCCCAGCGGGAGAUAUUGCAGGGAAUUGGGAGCCCAAGCUCCAUUCCCCAGCGGCAGGCUGAGUUACAGGGGGCAGAGGUAGUUGUUCCUGCCCCCCAGCAGCAGAGUGAUAUGCCGGGAAAGGCAGUGUGAAGUGCAGGGAGAGGAGAGCAGCGUCCUCCCUCCCCAGCGGCAGGCUGAGUUACAGGGGGCAGAGGUAGUUGUUCCUGCCCCCCAGCAGCAGAGUGAUAUGCCGGGAAGGCAGUGUAAAGUGCAGGGAGAGGAGAGCAGCGUCCUCCCUCCCCAGCGGCAGGCUGAGCUACAGGGGGCAGAGGUAGUUGUUCCUGCCCCCCAGCAGCAGCAUGAUUUUUUGGGAAUUGGGAGCCCAGUCUCCAUUCCCCAGCGGGAGAUACAGCAGGGAAUUGGGAGCCCAGUCUCCAUUCCCCAGCGGCAGAGUGUCCUACCGGGAAUAGAGAGCCCAGUCUCCUUCCCCCAGCAGCAGGACACUGUAUUGGGAGCAGAGACAGUCGGUCUCCCUCCACAGAGGAUGAAAGUAUGUAUGGGAGAGGAGCUUGCUACCACCUCUCCCCAGCGGCGGAUCAUUAAUGGGCAGGGAAUAGAGAGCUCAGUCUCCUUUCCCCAGCGGCAGAGUGUUCUAUCGGGAGAGGAGCCUGUUACCCCCUCUCCCCAGCAACAUCUUAGAGUAUCCAAAGGGGAGACAGUCGGUCUCCCCCUCCGGCAGCAGAGCUGUGCAACAAAAGGGGAGACAGUCGGUCUCCAGCAGCAGAGCGGUGUAUCUAAAGGGGAGACAGUCGGUCUCCAGCAGCAGAGCUGUGUGUCUAAAGGGGAGACAGCCGGUCUCCAGCAGCAGAGUGGUGUAGUUAAAGGGGAGACAGUCGGUCUCCCCCUCCAACAACCAGGCUUCAACCAGGCUACCCUCCCAGUAGCGCUGGCAACAGGGCAGAGUGCCGCUGGUCUCUGCCCACGCAGCAACCCACCCAGUCAGCGUACCCGUACCCAGCACAGCCGUGGUGAGGCACCUGGACAUGGACAAGCUUCUCCUUUACCCAGGUGUAGUAACCAUUUAUUGUGGGUGGGCUGUGCUGUUGAUUAUGUUUUGUGGGUGGGCUGCUGGACUAACAAGGGCACUGACCGGCAGGAGGUCAGAUACCCUGUUAGUCUGUUUGGAAAAGGGGAGAGAUGUGACGAGACCAAUCUCGCCACAUUGCAUUGGAGAAGCCUGGUUACUCGCCUGCUGCCUUUGGACUAUGGCCCCCUGUUAAAAGACAUCUUUUUUUACCUGCAGAAAAGUUUAAUUCGUGCUUUUCUGCCUGGGGUUUGGUAGUUUUGGUUGAAUGUGUUAUACCCCAGAUAGGAAUCCCAUGGAGCCCAUUCAUAUGAAACUGACUGUAAAGACUUUGGCUCCAUGGUGAUUAAACUGUAUUUGUGUGGUCUGAGCGCCAUUCACUUAAUAAUGUGCGCUCAGACCUGAGCUAUCUGGGGAUAUGUUACAUGUCUGUGUUUUAUGUAAUAAAUGUGACUUUAUGUAUUUUAAAGUGUUUUGUGUCUCUUUGCAACCAUGUGCUUAAUGGAGUCUUGUGUCUGUCCUGGGAGAUAAUUGAAUUACUUAUCUCCAGGAUAGAAGACUCUGAAACUGGUUUGGGCCAGAAAGCCAUGCUUCAUUUAGUCACAAAGGACUUUUUACUAACUUUUGAACCCCUUGUCUGAUUUGUGCCAUUUUUGAAUAUGUUGUUCCCCUGAAUGGAUUGAUUGAGAAUAUGUAAUUUUAUGUGAAUGUGAUGUAUGGUUUUGGAGUUAUGAAAGUUGGGUAGAAAGUAUGUUUUAACUGUUUGUAUAAUUGAGUUUCCUCUCAGGAUAAGGGGAGGGAAUAUGUGGGAUGUAACUGUGAUAUGAUUGGUUGUUUUAUCCCUCCCUGUGGGUGGUCCUGUAUUUGAAACACUGUAAUAAAAACCAGGCUGGGUGUGCCAGCACCUCAGACCACUGCUUGACCCUCAACACGGAGCCUUGUCUCGUUCUUGGGGGGAUUCACUGUAUGCUGUUAGAGACUGAUUGCCAGGAGUGUAAGCUGCUUUUCCUGUUCGUCUGCUAGCAGCUAUUUGGGAGGUUCCAGUUCGGGAGUUGGAGUGCUAUUUUGUAUCCAGUUUGGGAGUUUGGUGUUCUGCAGUAGCUGUGCCUGUAUCUCUGGAAAGGGGGCCGAUCGCCUAAACGGUUUUUACCCCUUGUGUGCAAAACGGUCCGUUACAGUCUGUAUUCAAGAGACUCACCUUAAGGAAGGAAAAGAACACGUUUAUUCCCUUCCCAAUUUCAUUGCACUUACAAAACUAAGUUUAGAGGUACUUCCAUUUUUUUUAGCAGGAAUGUGGCCAAUUCUACAGAAAAGAUAAUGACGGAUGAUGACGGGAGGCACAUAGUAAGGAUUGGUAAGGUUAACAAUGUUAAGUAUAUGUGACGAGACCAAUCUCGCCACUGUGCAUUGGAGGAGCCUGGUUGCCCGCCUGCUGCCUUUAGACUAUGGCCCCAUGUUGAAACGCUUGAUAUCCCCCUGCAGAGACACGAAAGCUGGGUCAUUCGGUGCUGGCCCUGUUUGAGCGGUGAUACCCCAGAUAGCUAUGCCAUGGAGCCCAUUCGUAUAAUGAAAGACUAUGGGAAAGACUUUGGCUCCAUGGCAAUUGAACUGUAUGUGUGUGCUCUGAGCGCCAUUCAGUAAUAAUGUGUGCUCAGAUCUGAGCUAUCUGGAAACUUCCUAGCGGCCAUUUUAGGUAAAUCACAUAGUAAUUUGAAUAAUGCUGAUUUCAGUUAUAUUGAAUAAAUAGACAUUUUACUAGUAUAAAUAAUAUUUUUGUCCACAACAGUGAGGUCCUCGCAAGGACCUCGCGAUCACAUGGCCCAAGAGGGCCGGAUCAGAAGCAGGGGAACUCCCUGGGAUGUCAGGUGAGUCCCCCCACCGCGAUCGCCGUCAUGGGAUGGCGGGGACGUUCUACGCCUGCUGGCGUUUAGGACCGGGUCCCCAAGGAUGGCAUAGAACACCUGGCGUCCUUAAGGGGUUAAGGAAAAAAAUUGAAGAAAUUAGGCUACAACUGUCAGGGACAGCAAUAUCCCUUUAAGAGCAGGAACCCAAUGUGCAGAGAAAAUGACAAACACAAGGAAUGAGUGCAAAUAUAUGUUGUAACAGAUGCCUUGCUCUCUGGAUUUAUAAUUUUGUUGCCAUCCUGAACUUUUCAUUGCAAUGCCAUUCACCUAAAACGGUAUACAAAGUGAGACAAACAGAUUUUACCAAGUUAGUUCAUAUACAGAACAUUUUACCGAACAUUUCGACCACCCAAGACAGUCGUGUGCCAUCAAUUGACUUAUUUGACACUAUUCCAAACUGCAACUCCAAACGUUCUAAGUGGUUCACUGGGUGGUCGUCGAUUUGAAUGCACGAACACGUGGCGGCGGCCAUCUAGUUCUGUCGAACACGUCCAGCGAGGCUUGGUCGUUGAGUGUCUGCCUGAUAGCACGUCCUGGGGAAGCCGUCAUAUGGCGAAACACGUCAACAUCACACAAGGGUGAGGAGCUUACGCAAGUCCGAAUCCGAGGCGACCAAUUUCAACUUUAGACUGUUUGUCUAUCUUCACUGUCUGCAGCAGUGUGAUUACAGUCCAGCCGAGCCGGAGGAGUGACAGCAGCCCACCCAUUGACUUACAUAAGCUGUUUUAGUGAGUAACUGCGGAAGCCAGUCUAACUCACCACCACAUCUAGUAAGAGGCUCUGCUUUUAUAUUGUCUCUCUAUUAUAUGUUUUUGUUUUAAUUCUGCAUGUAGCAGACAAUAAAUUGUUCUACUUUUCCAGCAUUUUGCAUUUGAAGCUAUCCUAUAUCAUAAUUGGAUAGCAAUUGAACUAUAUGAGUGUGGAUCUGAGCGCCAUUCAGUAAUAAUGUGCGCUCAGAUCUGCGCUAUCUGGGGAUAUGUUUUAUGCAACGGUUGCUCAGUUAUAUAUUUUUAUGUAUUUUGUUGUCUUUUGCUGCCAUGUGUUCAAUGGAGUUUUGCCUCUGUCCUUGGAGAUAAUUGGAUUACUUCCCAAUUAUCUCCAGGAUAGAAGACUCUGUGGAACUGGUUUUGGGCAGAAAAGCCUUGCUUCAUUUGGUCACAAAGGACUACGAUCUAUCUUUUGAACCACUGGACCAAUUUGUAUGAUUUUUGACGUAUGUUUGUAUUUGGAGUAUGCUCAUUCUAAAAUUUAUUUUAUGUGAAUGUGAUGCAUACUUUUAAAAUUAUGAAUAAUGUGGAAAAACUGUAUUUCUCUGCCUGUGAUAAUUACAUUACCCAUUGUGUAAGGUAAUUGUAUCACAACCAGAGGGGAGGAUUUUGUGUGGGAGUGUCUGAGUUUAUUGUACGUGUUUAUUGGUUGUUUUCCAAAACCCUGUGGGUGGUACUAAUGUGUAAGAAUGUGUAUAUAAGAACAAUAAACCCACAGCUCUGUCUGUUCCUGCUUGACCCCCAAAACGGAGCCUUGUCUCGUUCUUGGGGGGAUUUAUUGUAUGCUGUUCCAGUUCGACUGCUAGGAGUGUAAACCUAUUUGAAUGUUUUUUCUUAUUCGGCUGUUUACAGCAUUCGUAUGUUUGCGAGCAUUCAUAUGCUUCUCCGGUUCGGUGCAUUGGUGUCUACAGUAGCUGCCUGUAUAUCUGGAAGGGAAUAUCUCCUAAACGGCUUUUAACCCCUUUUAUGCCUGGGGGUGCCGUUACAUAUGUUUUAUGGGGUUCUGGUGUUAUUUUGGGGAGUUUCUAGAAAUGUAUAAAAUUGGCCUUUUUUCCUUUUGGAGAUAAUUGAGUUGGUACAGUAAUUAACCCAAUUAUCUCCCAAGCAGAGGGGAGGGAUUGUGUGUAAUGUAUGGGAUUGUCUCACUGUAUGUUUAUUGGUUAUUCACGGUGUGUCCCUGUGCCUAAGAAGGUCCACCUGGGUGUCACCCUUGUUAGAAAACCUGCAUAAAAGGCCAGUGUGGCCCCAUUAAAAAUCAGUUCUGCUUAACCCUCAACAUGUAGCCGUGUCUCGUGCUUGUAGGGAAUUUGCUUCACAGCCAAUCACUAGCUCUUGUAAGAGCUCUACUAUCUAUUCAGAUACUGGGUCGGCUGAGAUGACAUGUGGAGAAUACUGCAGCACAUCUCCUUCCAAGGGAAAAGGACGUUCCUAACGGUAUACACCCCUUUAUACUCAGGGUGGCCGUCUCAUAUGUAUAUCAUGAAAUAAACAAAUAUGAUACAAGAUAACCAAACAAAAUACAGUAUUACUACAAUCCCCCCUCCCCUUCAGGAGUGACUUCAGGCACUCAAAGCCCCCAAGACCUCCCACAGGUGACAGCAGAAUACCAGGAUCAUCAAACCAGUAGAAGAAAGAACAAGGAGGAGGGUCAAGAGCAAUGAAAGAUGGGGAGUCCCAAGGUAGAAACCAGAGGGGCAGGAUAGUGACAGAGAAGACCAUAGGAUAGUGGACAAUGCAGAACUCCAGAAACGGUAGCUAAAGGCAAACUUGGUAGGGAGUGUUGUAAUUACCAGUAAUUAACAAGAAUGUAAUCCUAUGAGGCACAGGGAUUUUGUUGUAUAGAGGUGCUAUAUGCAGUAGUCCUGGAUCUGACUGGGAUUCUGGCUUGAGUGCUCCUAGGAACAAAGACUGAGAUGCAAAUUCUUCUAUAAUAGGGUUGAUAGAUUCAGAGGGACGAACAGAUUCAAAGUUCUUUUUGGUUAGUUCAACUGGAGCCAAGAGAGGAGGAUCCCCUUGUUUUUGGAGGACACUUACAGAUGGGUAUCCAGGAAGUCCAAGAUUAGAUGUCUCAUGAGAGCAAGCCUCUCCAGGAUACUAGGGGGCAUCAAAGGUCGGACUAGAAGUACGGUAUUAUGGAUACCCACUGGGGGCACAACCUUGGUCUUUGGUUUGGGUAAGGUGUCUUCAUGCCCCAGCUGAUGCUGGAAUGCCACAACAGCAGGUGUGUUAACUUCUUCAUACACAUAGGAACAGGAAGGGUUAGUAGCUGUAUUACUUAAUACUGGAUCAGAAGUAAUGUCACAUUUCUGCAGUAACGAGGGUUCUUGACAAUCCGGCUUCUCAGAGGGGAAAACAGUUGUUUCGGUCAUUACUGCCAUCCCAGGAGUGGAGUCAUGAGCAGGUCUUUCUAGGACUGGGAGAAACUCUGCCAGAGGGGGAGUAUCAAGAACUAAAUGGACCAAGCCAUGGGGCACAGAUAGGGGUUCUGUGUCUUGAUUAUGCACAGUCUCGGAUGCACACCAAGGGGUUUUCAUGAGGUCUUCUUCUGAUACAAAAAGACAAAUGGAGUCCACUGAAGCAGGUUGCAGCAGAUGGGCUUCUACUGCGGAAGACAGUGGAGUCGGAUUCUCAGGCGAAUUUGUCUCCUCUUCGCUCCUGUGAGGGCAAGGCUGUAGAUACUCUCUUGCCUGGCAUGUGGACUCAGGAGCAAUCUCCUUGGGAGCCAGAAUAUCAACCCUAGGUGAAUAGACUUUGCUACAAAAAGACGGUGGUUCAUGAACAUGAUUGGUCUCUGGUAAUGAGGCAGUAUUUUGAAACGGUGUCUCUGUGCAUUCCUCAGAAUCAGACAGCAGAUAAUUGAGUUUAGUAUGUUUCCAAAACUCAAUUAUCUCGCUGGCUCAGAUUAGGAGUUUGAUGCUGUAUAAAUUGAAUGCCUUUUCUUGCCGUUAAACCAGUCUUGUUCCAGCAUUAAGCGUGGAUUAUUAUGUGACACCAGCGAUAUUUUACCCUGUGGAUUACUGGCGAUAUUAUUUUAUUGGACUAAGAGAAUGACAGACGGUAACACUGUUUCAGACCAUCACACUGGUGAUUACCAAAUGGACUGUGUUUUUGGUUCUCCGUAUUUAGCAGCUUUGGAGGAAGAGCUGUCUGAUUCUGAGGAAUGCACAGAGACACCGUUUCAUCCACUACUCCAUCCAUCUGGACCAUUCAGGGUUGCACGGCACUCAUCAGUGAACAGAACUGUUUGAAAAUUAGUCUUCAUGUAAUUUUCUGCCCAAUGCAGCAGUUUCUGCUUGUGAGCAUUGGUUAGUGGUGGCCGAAUAGAAGGUUUAUGCACAGUUGCAAGACUCUGGAGGACUCUACACCUUGAUGUCCGUCGGACUCCAGAGGCACCAGCAGCUUCAAAUAUCUGUUUGCUGCUAUGUAAUGGUAUUUUAGCAGCUGCCCUCUUGAUCUGAUGCAUGGAUCUGGCAGAAAUCUUCCUCAAUGUGCUCAAUGAAUCAGCCACAAAUCUCUUAAUAGUGCGAUGAUCAUGCUUAAGUUUUCGUGAAAUAUCUAAUGUUUUCAUACCUCAUCCAAGGCAUUGAACUAGUUCACUCUUUUUGGCAGCAGAGAGAUCCUUUUUCUUCCCCAUAUUGCAUGAAAAUGGUGCUCUGCUUAAUAAAGGCUCACCUGGCAAUCUAAUUAUCACAGGUGUCCGAGAUUGUUUUCAGUGAUCAAAAGAGCCCUGAGACACAAUGCCAUCCAUGUGUUAUGCUGAAAAACUAAAUAUUUAAUCUUUGUGACACUUAAAUAGAAUUUGCAUAAUAAUUUGGAACAGGGUGUAAAUGCAUAAAAAAACCACAACAACCAUGUCCCUGGGUAGCUGAGGUUUGUGGGAGCAACAUAUUAAAAAUUCAGACAAAUCUGUUUGGUUGUUUUCGAAUGGCACCGUGUAGAAGUUUGACCGGUCUGCCACGAGGUUGAAUCCGAAAAGGAGUUCCAUAGAAUUAGUAACAAGAGCCGGUCUCUGUUCGCGUGAAUUCAUAUGAAAACCGCCAUAGAUAGAGUAAAGCUGAUUCGUGCAGAAUGCUCCCGUUGUUCGUCUGAUUCAAACUCCCGAACGCCGUUCGUCUACUGUACUGGGAAGUAGUACGUAGGGGACUUCCAUAUAGACCGGAGUUCGUGCGAGUGCCAUGCCCUACACCAUUUCAGGCACUCAACGACCAAGUCCCGCUGGCCGCGUUCAGGAAACAAGAUGGCCGCCGUCCAUUGUUCUCACCAAGUGUGUUCGUAUGCCACCUAGGAGCAUUCAAUUAGUCUGCGGUUUUCGUAUGGUUCUACGUUCUGAUUAGUACCCAAGGUGGCCUGUGUUUGGUAAAAUGAUUGAUUUACCGUACAACGAAAAAUAAAACAAAUAACCAGGGGAAUUAAGUAGCAGGGAGUGGAAAUAACCGAACGGUUACUGGGAAAUCCUUCACAACCGGCACUGUAUACCUCCUCAACAGAUUCUUCUUCAACCCAGGCAGGAAGGCAUUCAGCUUUCAUUUCAUGAAACACAUGUUCAGUAUUACAGUCAGGAGGAUCUACAAGCCAGUCCCUGAAAAAGGAGGAAUCCAAGUCAGAGUCAGGAGGACAUGAAGUGCUUUCAACAGUGUGGAGACUGCAAUUCAGGGAACAAAGGAGAAACUGCAUGAUCAGAAGUACGAUAGUCAGUAUUUAGCAAUUCUAAGGUAGGACUUUCAUCAUUAUCACCAGAAUAAAAUUGAACUCUUCCUUUCUUGCAAUAGAUCAAUGAGAUCAGACAAUUCUGGUAGCAAAAUAAGAUAAUUAGAAUGCAUUACUCUCAACUGUUUUUCAGGUAGGCUAAAGACUUUUUAUGUGAUAUCUCUUUAAAGGAAACACUGAGGAUUCCAUACAUCUGACUUAUAAUUUAAGAAUUCCCUAGCCACCUUCCAAAAGCAGGUAUUAGUGAGGAAAAAAGGUCACAUAUCUCUUUGUAAUAGGACUAUAAUUCAGAUAUUAGAGCACAUAAAAUAGGUUUCUGUAUUAGACAACAAGCAUCUAAAGAAGCGCACAAAGAAGAUGUUUUUAAAGUCAGAUGCUGGGGAUGGCUUAACUGACUACAAUAAGCAUCAAUCAGAUUACACUCUUGCUGUGAAUCAAAGUCACUACCAGCAAUGCUAUUCAUUGUGCUCACAGACAUUUUCUCUGCGGGUUCCUAAUUUUGAGGCCAGAUCAUUAUCAGGGUAGGAAGGGGUGCUGCCCUAAUACAGCAAUAAGAGCAGGAACUCAAUGUGCAGAGAAAAUGACAAACACAAGGAAUGAGUGCAAAAAAUGUAUAUUACGAAAUAAACAAAUAGGAUACAAGAUAACCAAACAAAAUACAGUAUUACUACAAUGCCAAUAUAAAUUAUACAGUAGACCUAAGUCUAGCACAGGAGGUGCAGGCAGAGUAUUAGGGUACAGUAUUUUUUAGGUUAAGCAGAGUAUGCUGGGCAGGACCAGGUAAGUAUCAUAGGAGAUAGACAGGUCUAGAGCCAGAGGGUGUACAGUUAGAGCCAAAAAGGAUGCAAGGCCAGAAUCACAGGAUACAAGACCAGAGUCACGGGAUGCAAGACCAGAGUCACAGGAUGCAGAGACUAUACUGCAACAGGAAUAAAGAAACAGUGAUCUGGCAUGGAAGGAAGGGUGAGGCCAGACUAUAAAGGGACUUAACAAGGACCAGCUGAAGUGCUUAAUGUUCCUAAACAAAAUCAAUGCGGCCCAAAUGUCAGUUCUUAAUAAAGACAAAGACCUACUGAAAAUAACUCAAAUUAUAAAAGAAGCCCCGUCAGGGAAAGCCCCAGGCCCAGAUGGGUUCACUAUGCUUUAUUACAAAAAGUUUCAAAAUAUUUUACUUCCCUAUUUGAACAAAUUAUUCAACUUUUACAAAACUAAUGGUGUAAUGUCUCCAGAAGCCAUACAAGCAUGUAUAAUAACUAUCCCCAAAGCAGGUAAAGACCCUGAUGUGUGCCAGAACUUUAGACCUAUAUCGUUACUUAAUAAUGACACUAAAAUAUAUGCCAAAGUUUGGGCUAACAGAUUAAGUGAAAUAGCACUUGGAUUAAUCAAUGAAAACAGGUAGGUUUUAUCAUAGGUAGACAAGCAUCUGAUAACACUAGAAGGUUCAUAAAUGUCAUCCACCACUUCAACAAUGUUCGAACGCCUUCUCUGCUCCUCUUGCUGGAUGCGGAGAAGGCGUUCGACAUUGAAAAGGGGGUGUGUUUUGGCCACCAUCCUGAAUGGCCACCAUCUACAGGAGCUCCUGGGAUACUGGGACAAUUAAGUUUCAAAAAUACUAUUUAUAAUUUGAAUUCAUUAAAAUGAUAUACUGAAAUUUCUUUAAGAAGACUUGCUCAUAAUGCAGAGGCAAAAUAACGCAGAGAAAUCUGCUCCUGCACCUAAGAAAAAAAAUUGACAAGCCUGCUGUGGGGGUGAGUAAGGGCCUGUAGGCUCACUCCCCCUCUCACAUCAUGGCUUAUUUCGCCCCAAAAAUCAUCAUUGGCGGCAGUGGGGAAGUCUCUCCUUUCCAUACCUUCUUACACACUUGCUCAUAUACAAAUGCGACCGCGACACACUCGCAGCUUCCUGUAAGUGGCGGGAUCGCGUCCGCAAUUGCCAUGAGUCUGAGGGUGGCACUAAGUGCUUGGAGCGAGUAGAUACAGCUUCGGCGAGCGGCUCACGGUGGAAAACAAGCAGUUCGCAGCUUAUCACUAAAACAACCUGUCCCUAAUAUAUAAUGGAAACCGGGCAGAAGAUGAGGGGGCAGAAGGUGGGAGAUCCCGUUCCCCGUCGUAGUCCUCAGCCUCACGGCGGUCGUACAUAGUGGGGGGCACCUCUGUCACUCAAUCCCUUAACAUUUCAGACAUGGAAAGGGCUGCAGAGAGCCCAGAAGAACUUGAAAUGGAGGAUGCUCCCAAUAUAUUAUUGUACAGUCCAUUACAACAGAGAAUUAGACAGAUUGCCAACACCAAGAUGGCAGACACUAAUGAAUCAGCUCUUGCCACAACCAAGAUGGCCACCACUUUUACACAAGAUGCUACUGACCCCAACCGAUAUGGCUGCUGCCACCUCCAAGAUGCCACCAACCUAUGGCACAUAUGCCAUGCACGGCACUCGAGGUGUCUUUGCACAGCACUCAAGGCUGCUAGAGCAAAACAGGCUCUGGCCUAUCAGGAGUCCCAAUGUAACUUCAGAUAUUUGAGAAUAUGAAAAGGUGGUGAAGGGCAAUCCUCAAUUCAUGCAUUACAACAUGUAGAGAAAGUGAUCUCAGAUCACUUCCUCCCAGCACUUGUGAAUGGGAAUCCACACUGUAAUAAAGCAGCCAACAGCAGCUGUUGAAACUCCUGCCCUUGACCUGUACCUGGCCAGCCUGGUCCCCACUGGAACCCAGGGAGCCACCCACACUGCUAGAUAUACACAGAAAUGCAAAAUAACCAUCCGCUCAUACAAAUAAUACAAACAUACACACAAUUCCCACAAACUCAACACCACUUACAAUCCACAUACAUGCACACAAACCCACAUGCAGCCUAUCACAUGCAAUACCCCCAAAGCCCCUCAAAUACACACAUUGCCAUACACACACACUACCAAACACACAAUGUGACAUAUCCAUCUACGCACACAAUUCCACAAGCAGCCCUCAUACACAGCCCACAUUCAUAGGUAUUAUACUGAACACCACAAACUACUUGUGAACAUAUACAAUACGAUACAAAAUAACUGCAGAAUAAAUAACACAAGCAGAAUACGGCAACAAACACACCUCAAUUUAAAAAAAAAUAGGAUUUGCACACUACGGGACCUCACAAUCUUAUUUCGGCACAGUACUGCUAAAAGGUUACCUACCCCUGUUAUCGACACUAAUCCUUUUACAAUGACAGCUGCUUAUAAUCCCGAUAUGCCAUCUGAAAUGGCUACAGGUUUGCCUGCAUCAGUCGACAUGCUGAUAAAUCUUAUUAAGAAACUAAGGGUGGAACAUAGGAAGGAUUUUAAAAAGGAUUUUGAAACAAUUUAUGAUUUCAUGACAGACAUAAAUUUACGCACAGAAGAUGUGGAAAACUGAAUGACCUCCCAAGAGCAAUCUCAUCUGGAAUUAUUGGAGUAGGUAAAUGAUCUUCAAAGAGAGGUGAACCAUCAAGCAGAAAAAUCAGCUGACUAGAAAUACAGGAGCAGAUAUAAUAACUUUCGGAUUGGGGGAUCCCUGACAACAUCGACAUGGUAAGGGCAUCUGUUACCAGCUCGGACUUAAUUCUGGACCACAUACACAGUUUGCCAAAACCUAACAGCACCCCCGCAGCUGAACCUGAAGAUGUGAUAGUACGUUUCCAUUGCUAUCACAUAAAGGAGAAAUUCUUGGGCGCAGUUCGCACAUCUGGAUUACCUGAUGACUACAAAAAUAAGAAGAACACAGGGAAUUUCAACCCUUUACAUCAGAACUGUGCCGCAGAGGAAUUAGAUACAGAUGGGGGUUCCCUGUAAAGGUUCUCUUUCGCAUGGAUAGUCAGAACUUUGUUUUCACAUCACCAGAGGAGGGUAUUGAAGUUCUCAACUCCUAUAGCAGAUGCCAGUUGUUAUCAGCUCACACACUUUCACCUUCGACUCUUGAGCAUCCCAACAAGAGAAGCAAGCCUGAUCCACCGCAGCCUUCGAAAUCUUAAUUUAACAUUUUUCUAGAUGAUGGUGUUUCAUUCUUCAGUGUGCCUGUUCCUGUGCCGCUUGAAGGAUUUCCUCAAGUUUGAUUAAUUUCUGGGUCCUGAUGACUAUGUCUAUUGGAAGUGGACCGUGACUGUUUAACCCAGAACUUUAUUUGACUAUGCAAGUCUUUUUGCUUAAAAUGUAUUAUUUUAUUUAUAUAUUGGUUUAUGAUUGUUCUUUGGUGACAACAGUUCCCUAGCUUUUCUCCCCCCAACCUGGGCCUAACACCCUGAGAUGGAGAAAUCUUUUUUAUUCUCCCUCAUGGCCCUUUUUUUUUUUGUAAGUGUUUGUGUUUUUUUCUCCCUUGAUAGGGGUGUAUAUCCAAGUUUUUUAUUCACAUUUUUUAUUUUUAUGGGACAUUCAAAAAAUCUCAUGCAUCAAAAUUUUAUGUAAUAAUUUGUAUAAUAUUUGACAAAACCGGUUUAGUUUGUUCUUUGCCAUUAGGACAAGCUUGGACACACAAUCUUUCUGAACAAGUAUGUAAGAAGCAUAAUUAUUUUUUAGCAGUAUUGCAGGACUUGCUUAUAAAUUUUUUGGAGCUUGGUGGUUGUGACCCUCACAUUGCUGUGUGUUUUUUAUCUUUAAUAUUUAAGAUUCAUAAUAUAAAACAUGGUUUUAAAAUUUUUGUCAUUUAAUGUGAGAGGCCUGAACACCGCGCAUACAAUUACUUUACUAAGAAGCUAAGUCUUGCAAGUCUGAUGUCAUAUGUGUUCAGGAAACACACUACAAGCUUAUGUCAAAAUUUUUUACAACCCAAUUGCAUACUGUUUACAAAUCUAAAGCUAGAGGUUCAUCAAUCUUUUUUCAACAUGAAUGUGGCAUGUUUUACGGACAAGGUAUUAACGGACAAUGACGGGAGGAAUUUAUUAGGUAUAGGUAAAAUCAAUAAUGUUGAGUACACAAUUAUGAAUAUGUAUUUUCCCAACACCGGUCAGUUCAUUUUAUUUUAGAAAAUGAUGGAUCUGGUGACUGAAAAUUUAGGAGGUAUUUUGGUAAUGUGUGGUGAUACAAAUUUUGUCAUGGAUGGAGAACUGGAUAAUGCUAGGAAAGACCUCAGGGUCUUCCCAUAGCAGAGAUAGUGAUAGACUGGCAGAUAAAUGUUCUAAAUACAAAGUUAAAUGUGAAUUGUAUAAUCCUAGUAGACUUAUGCAUGAAGGUGAAAGAGAUUUUACGUAUUAUUCUGUUUCAAAAAACAUGUAUUCUAGGUUGGACAGGUUUAUGGUUCAGAGUGCUUCAAUCCCGCGCAUCUUGAAAUCUGAUAUCUGGGAUAUUAAUUGGUCCGACCAUGAUCCUAUCAUAAUGCAUAUAGACAAAACUAAAUAUUCAGCCCCAAAUAGAACUUGGAGACUAGGUGAUUAUUUGAUAAAUGAUGCCAAAAAUAGGUAAUUGACAGGGAGGGUUUUGAGUGAUUAUUUCUUGGAUAAUGUAUCAUCUGAGGUUCCUGGCAAGGUGGCUUGGAAUGCACUUAAGGCUGUGUUACGAAGUCAUUUUAUUUCUAGGGAUUCUCACUUGAAGAGGAUCAAUACUAACAAUCUAAGAACAUUGGAGAAAGAACUGUAUAAUUGGAAUCAGGCAAAUAAAUUUGGUCCAUACAUUUUUUUAUAAAUUUGGUCCUCAAAAAUUAAAAUUAAUUUAGAUUGUACAUCCCUCAUGGUGAGGCACCUGAAGAAAACAUUUUAUCUAAAAGGAAAUAGGGCCUCAAAUCUUCUGGCAUCUAAACUCUGGUGUGUGAAUGCCCAGUGAAAAAAUAGCAUAUUUGAUCUAAUUGCAGAAUAUUACAGGAAACUUUAUAAGCUAGGACUAAAUUCAUAACUUCCCCAACCCUCUUAGGUAACAACUGACAAAUUUGUAGAGUGAAAUUGCCUCAGUUGUCUCCAGACAAUUUGAAAAAGUUCAGAGUGUGAUAUCUCAGCUGAAAAGAUAGCUGAGGCAAUUGAGCUUUACAGUCAAAAACAAAUUUACUUCUACUUGUAUGUUCAGUUUCAGUCAAGGAACAUGAUUCUCUGCUUAAUUUUAAGCAAUGUCAUUUCCUUUUUGACAAAAGUGAGCUGGUGUAUGAGCCUGUGUGAGUUUUCUCUUUCUUGUCCAAAAUGAAUUUCCUUUUACUUGUAUGUUCAAUUUCAAUCAAUGAACAUGAUUCUCUGCUUUAUUUUAAGCAAUGUCAUAUCUGCUUUGAAGAAAGUGAGCUUGUAUAUAAGCCUGUGUGUGUUCUCUAUUUACAGUCACAAAUACAUUUCCUUUUACUUGUAUGUUCAGUUUCAAUCACGGAACAUGAUUCUCUCCUUAAUUUUAAGCAAUGUCAUACCUGCUUUGAAGAAAGUGAGCUGUUAUAUGAGCCUGUGUGUAUUUACAGUCAAAUAUACAUUUCCUUUUACUUCUAUGUUCAGUUUCAAUCAAGGAACACAAUUCUCUGCUUAGUUUUGAGCAAUGUUAGUUCUGCUUUGAGGAAAGUGCGCUAUUAUAUGAGCCUGUGUGUGUUCUCUGUUUACAGUCAAAAACAUAUUUCUUUUAACUUGGAUGUUCACUUUCAAUCAAGCAAUAUGAUUUUCUGCUUAAUUUUAAGCAAUGUCAUAUCUCCUUUGAGAAAAAUGAGCUGUUAUAUGAACACAUAUAAAUUCUUUAUUUCUUAUCCAAAAUAAAUUUCCUUUUACUUUUAUGUUCCGUUUCAGUCAAGGAACAUGAUUCUCUGCUUAAUUUUAAGCAAUGUAAUUUCCUCUUUGACAAAAGUGAGCUGGUGUAUGAGCCUGUGUGAUUUCUCUCUUUCUUGUCCAAAAUUAAUUUCCUUUUAGUUGUAUGUUCAGUUUCAAUCAAGGAAUAUGAUUCACUGCUUAAUUUUAAGCAAUGUCAUACCUGCUUUGAAGAAAAUUAGCUAUUAUAUGAGAAUGUGUGUGUGUUCUCUAUUUACAGUCACAAAUCCUUUUACUUGUAUGUAUAGUUUCAAGCAAGUAACAUAAUUCUCUGCUUAAUAUUGAGUAAUGUUAUAUAUGCUUUGAGAAAAGUGAGCAGUUAUUUGAGCCUGUGUGAGUUCUCUAUUUACAGUCAAAAAUAAAUUUAUUUCUACUUGUAUGUUCAUUGUAUGUUCAUUUUCAGUCAAGGAACUAAUUCUCUGCUUAAUUUUAAGCAAUGUAAUUUCCUCUUUGACUAAAGUGAGAUGGUGUAUGAGCCUGUGUGAGUUCUCUCUUUCUUGUCCAAAAUUAAUUUCCUUUUACUCGUAUGUUCAGUUUCAAUCAAGGAACAUGAUGCUCUGCUUAAUUUUAAGCAAUGUCAUAUCUGAUUUGAAGAAAGUGAGCUGUUAUAUGAGCCUGUGUGUGUUGUCUAUUUUUAGUCACAAAUACAUUUCCUUUUACUUUUAUGUUCAGUUUCAAUCACGGAACAUGAUUCUCUGCUUUGUUUUGAGCCAAGUAUGUAACUCAGGAAGCUGCAUCGAUGAAAUCCAUGCUGACGAACACAUGUUGGGUCAGGAUCCUCUUCUCUGUCAAGAUGAACCCUGGUGUCUCUUGAAUCUGGAUGCCGGAGGAGGGUCCCAUCUCUGCGAUCGGGUCGGUCAGUAGCUCUUGGCACAGGAGCAGUACAAUCCAGAAACACGCCACAUCUUUCUUGGACAUCUUUCGACAGUCACGGAUUAGGAACUCGUUUCAGACUUAUCUACUAAUGAUUCAAGGUUUGUUAAGCAUACAAACUUAUGACAGUAUGACAUCACUUGGCCUAGGACAACACAUUAUUACGAUUCAUCAACAUAUGUAUUCUCUCUAAUUCUAUUUUUAUAACUUCAUCCCUCACUACAUUUAUUACUGACUCUUCAGUAAUUUCGCCUAUAGCAGCUAAACAAGCUAGUAACCUGCUUAGAAAAUGUAGUUAUUGGAUGGCAAGGAAAUGGUUAAUGACUUGAACGUACAUGAGAUCAUGGCACAUCACAACAUUUUACAUCAUACUAUACCACGUGAAUCAAGCAUUCAUCCAGGUUAGUCGUUCACUCUUCUGCGUCCGAAUCCACACCUAUAAUCCUUAAUUGAGAUUUAGGAUGACAAGCACGCAACUGGUUAAUGUGAACCCACUUUUCAAUAAAAUCACCAUCCUUAGGAAUUUUUAUCUUAUACGCUACAGGGGAAAUUUUGUCAAUGAUGACAUAUGGCCCUUUCCAAGAAGGUAAAAAUUUCUUUUCCUUGACUUGAUUUUGCGCAAAGUUAUACAGAUAGACUUGAUCUGUGAUCUCAUAUUCCUUUUUUGUGGUUUUUAAAUCGUAAUAGGUCUUAACCCCGGUCUCUGCUUUUUCUAGAUUCUUUUGGGCAAAAGCAAACGCAUGCUGGAAAUGCUUGCGCAAAUCUUCGAUAUACUGAUGCGUAGUGGCAGCACUGAUCAAGUUAUGAUCCAAAGUACGAUAUUGUGACAGACCCAUCUGUAUGGACUAAAAGUACUGUGUUCGUCUGUUUUGCCAUGUGCAUGAAUUCCCCAUUCGUAUGCUUUGUUUAAGGGAAUGUCUUUUUUUUGUCAAAUGGAACUACCGAAUGGACGGCCACCCAGAAGAGAAGUGUGCUGCUGGUUAACCUAUUGAUCCCAAUUAGAACGUUCCGGUUAACCACACUUCUCAAUUAAAACCGAAUACCGGGUGGUCGUCGUUCGUAUGUCGACCACGAGGCGGCGGCCAUUUUAAACCAUGCGAAAGACCAGCGGUGUUCGACGGUUAUUUCAUGGAACUGAAAACGGACACUUUUUCAACCGAACACCGCUGAAGCCGUCGACCUCCCCUUCUCAAUCGACAAAAGCAUACGAAUGCCGGCCGUUCGGGAGAUUCAACAACACGAAUGGACUUAACCCAGAUAGCCUUCCCAUGAAGUCAAUCGCAUACCGAAGAACUGUAAUAGACUUUGACUCCAUGACGAUUGAACUAUGCGAAUGGGAUCUGAGCACUAUUCGCCAAUAAUAUGCACUCAGAUCCAGGCUAUCUGGGGAUGUGCUACACGAAUACAAUAUGUUCGGCAAUUAGAAAGUUAUAUAUUUUAAUGUGUUUUAUAACUUUGAGUUAAAAUGGCGAUUUGCCUCUGCUCGGGGAGAUAAUUGAAUUACUUUCCAAUUAUCUCCCGAGCAGAGGGGAGGGAACUGUGAAGCAUGCUGGGAAUAUUGUGGGGAUGUAUGUCUGAAAUGUCCCCAUGUCCUUCUGUUAUUCCAGUCUCCCAUUUGGUCCCCUAGGGGAGUGUCCACCAAGUGGGAGACCUGCAUAAAUACCAGGCAGGUAGCCCACAGUAAAUCAGUUCGUGUUUUACCCUCAAAGCGGAGCUUGGUCUCGUUAUUGGGGGGAUUUUAUUACAGGCACCUAGAGACUGCUUAUUGGAAUUAUUUGCCGCUUGGAAGAUAUUGGCGUUCAGCUAAUAUUGGCAGUUCGUGGAUUUGGAGUUCGUGAAGGGAAAGAGCCGUACAGGUACCGUUCGGGAGUUUGGAGUGUUCCCUAGCUGGCUAUAACCUAGCAUGGUUAUACUGUACACGCUACCAGACCACAUUAUUGUGAACGGGGAGCAUUCACUAAACGGCGGUUUGUACAUUUAUUACUGGAGGUACCGUAGCAACUGGUGGCAAGCGACGGGAUGAUCCUCAACGCACAAAGAGACCACUGCAACCGGAAUUAAAAUGGAAUUGCAAUACCAAAACCUGAGGAGAGCUACCCUAAAGGAUUUAUUAGAGCAAAGAGGGGGACAAGCCAGUAACCUCAGAAAAAGAGAUAUUAUUGCGUUAUUGCUGGAAAUGGAUGGAAUACCAGCGGCAGCGGGAACCAAUGGACCCAGCACAGCUGACAGAACCCCCGAGGAGGCAAGCUUUGACCGGGCGGUAAGAAUCAGGCUGGCCCAUUAUGGUCCCAACCCGACUACAGAGACCAUUGACCAGGUCAUGGCAGCUGUGGAGGCCAACCUGCUUCGCCAAAGCGGUGCUGCACCAGCCCCAGUCACAGCAAACCCGGGAGAUAGAAAGAAAGUACCAUUUACUGCGUUUAAAGCCUUCAGUGAGACAGAAGGAGAGAUUGAUGGGUACCUUGCUGAUUUUGAGCGGCAAUGUGCCCUGCACAAGGUACCCCUGGAAGACUGGGUUACUAUAUUGUCCGGCAAGUUAUCAGGCCGGGCCAGCGAGGCUUUUCGGGCCAUUCCUGAUGAGGAGAUUGGGGAUUAUGUGGCCGUCAGGGAAGCUUUACUCUCCCGGUAUGCCGUUACACCUGAGGCGUACCGGAGGAGGUUCCGAGACACUGUCAAGACCUCUGGGGACUCAUACGUGGAAUGGGCAUGUAAGGUGCAUCGCACAGCCGCCCACUGGAUGGCGGGGUGCCAGGCUGUGUCCGGAGAAGAGGUGCUGCAGAUGUUUCUUUUGGAACAUUGUUUUGAUAAAUUGCCAGCAGGGGUCAGAGAGUGGGUAAGGGACCGUAAACCCUCCACUCUGCACGAAGCAGCUCGCCUGGCGGAUGAGUAUACCGAUGCCCGCAAACUGGACAGUCUCAUCAGCAAGUCUCCCGCCAGAGUGGAGUACAAGCCAGCAGCACCAACAGCAGCUAACAUAUAUCAGCCUCCAAUGAAUCGUCCAUCAGCACCCCCUCCAUCUGCCCAGUAUCAACAGCCACCCAGGUUUAAUUCACGGGAGUACGCACAACCCAUUCGGUGCUACCUAUGCAAGCAGCUAGGGCACAAGCGACCAGAGUGCCCGAUGAACAGCGCCAACCAGAACCAGUCCUGGAGGAGACCAGCCGGUGGCAAUCCAUGACCUCCCCUCCCAGCCACUCACUGUGUAGAGGAAGAGGACUGCUGGGGCAUCCUGCAUGAGGCAAACCCCGUUCAGACUGCCCACCGGGAUAACAGACAGCACCACCGGCAGUGUGUAAAAGUAAACGGGAAGGAGGUCAGUGGUCUACGGGAUACCGGGGCAACCAUGACUUUGCUCCAGAAGCACCUGGUAUCCGAAGCCCAACAUACCGGGGACACGGUCGCAGUGCGAGUAGCCGGGGGUGCCGUGUUUCGUCUACCCGUUGCCCGGGUACAUUUGGAUUGGGGAGUGGGCGCUAGACAUGUGAAUGUUGGGGUCAUGAAGGAUUUACCAGCGGAUGUCCUCCUUGGCAAUGACUUGGCGCCCCUUGUUUCAGCCUUCGCUCCCAUGGGUCCUGCUGAAUUGGAUGCUGUCACGACCCGUGCCCAGACCUGUGCCGCCGAGACCGGCCCACCUGCUGCUGAGACCCACGUAAGACUCUCUACCCCGACUUGUACCUUAGACCAGGCCCCUUUAGGCUGGGAUACCCCAGAGAUGUACGGGAAGGAAACCAGGGAAGACCCGAUGCUAGCAAAGUACAGGGCCAGGGCCGAUUCUGGGGGAGAAGGAGUAGAUGGGGAGCACUACAAGUGGGUGGGGGAUAGAUUGUACAGGAUCCGGAAACCGUCCCAGAAACCAAGUACCCCUCCGCAGAAUCGACAGCUAGUGGUACCUGCAAAAUACCGGCAGGAGAUUCUACGGAUUGGGCAUGAUGUGCCAUUAGCAGGCCAUCUAGGUUCCCACCGCACAGCUCAUAGGAUCACACAAAACUUCUUCUGGCCGAAUUUUAACCGAGAUGUGCGGGUUUAUUGUAGCACGUGUGACACCUGUAGGUAAGCGGGGGGAUCACCCAAAAGCUAGGCUUCAGUCGAUUCCUAUCAUUGGAGAACCCUUUUCCCGCAUAGCCGUUGACAUUGUGGGUCCACUGGCCAGGGCUAGCCCAUCAGGUAAGAAGUAUAUUCUCACCGUGGUGGACUAUGCCACACGUUAUCCAGAGGCAGUAGCACUGUCUAAUAUAGAGGCAGAGACGGUUGCUGAUGCCCUGGUUAAAAUUUUCACUAGGGUCGGGUUCCCCCAGGAGAUUCUCUCCGAUCAGGGAACUCAGUUCACCGCUGUGCUUACCCAGCAGCUGUGGAAGGUGUGCGGUAUUAAACCUCUGCUUAGCUCACCGUAUCACCCACAGACUAACGGUCUCUGCGAGCGAUUUAAUGGCACCCUCAAACAGAUGUUGAGGACCUUUACUGACACUUGCAGAGACUGGGAGCGAUUCCUGCCUCAUCUGCUAUUUGCAUACAGAGAGGUGCCCCAGGAAUCUACUGGGUUCUCCCCCUUUGAGUUACUCUAUGGGAGAAGGGUCCGUGGACCCCUAGAUCUCAUUAGAGGACACUGGGAGGGGGAGACAGAGCAAGAAGGGACCCCCAUAGUACCAUAUGUCCUGGAACUCGGGGACCGCAUGGAGAAAUUAUCCCUGAUGGUAAGGGAGAAUCUCCAGGCGGCCCAGGGGAGACAGAAGCGGUGGUACUUCGCGGAUCUUCCAGGUUGGGCAGAAGGUUCUGGUACUCAAGCCUGUGAAGACGAACAAGAUGCAAGCAUCUUGGCAGGGCCCGUAUAAAGUGUUAGCUCAGGUAUGUGAUACUACCUACCUUAUAGCCAGCUGUUCAGAUGAAAGGAUUCAGUGAUCCUUCCAUGUGAACAUGCUGAAGGAGUAUCAGGAACGACCAGAGGAUGUUGCGGCAGUAUGUGCCCCAGCUACUGACGACCCCGAGAACUUACCUUUACCUGACUUGUUAGAGAGGGAUCCCCAGACAGACCUUACUAGUCUUGUACAGCUGGGGGACCGGCUAAACCCGGCAGAGAAGGUACAGGCAAGACAGCUGCUGUGGGAGAAGCAGGCGACGUUCUCCCAAGAACCCGGGUGCGACAGACCCAUCUGUAUGGACUAAAAGUACUGUGUUCGUCUGUUUUGCCAUUUGCAUGAAUUCCCCAUUCGUAUGCUUUGUUUAAGGGAAUGUCUUUUUUUUGUCGAACAAAACUACCGAACGGACGGCCACCCAGAAGAGAAGUGUGCUGCUGGUUAACCUAUUGAUCCCAAUUAGAACGUUGCGGUUAACCACAGACACUUCUCAAUUAAAACCGAAUACCGGGUGGUCGUCGUUCGUAUGUCGACCACGAGGCGGCAGCCAUUUUAAACCAUGCGAAAGACCAGCGGCGUUCGACGGUUAUUUCAUGGAACUGAAAACGGACACUUUUUCAACCGAACACCGCUGAAGCCAUCGACCUCCCCUUCUCAAUCGACAAAAGUAUACGAAUGCCGGCCGUUCGGGAGAUUCAACAACACGAAUGGACUUAACCCAGAUAGCCGUCCCAUGGAGUCAAUCACAUACCGAAGAACUGUAAUAAACUUUGACUCCAUGUCGAUUGAACUAUGCGAAUGGGAUCUGAGCGCUAUUCACCAAUAAUAUGCACUCAGAUCCAGGCUAUCUGGGGAUGUGUUACACGAAUGCAAUAUGUUCAGCAAUUAGAAAGUUGUAUAUUUUAAUGUGUUUUAUAACUUUGAGUUAAAAUGGCGAUUUGCCUCUGUUCAGGGAGAUAAUUGAGUUACUUCCCAAUUAUCUCCCGAGCAGAGGGGAGGGAACUGUGAUGCAUGCUGGGAAUAUUGUGGGGAUGUAUGUCUGAAAUGUCCCCAUGUCCUUCUGUCAUUUCAGUCUCCCAUUUGGUCCCCUAGGGGAAUGUCCACCAAGUGGGAGACCUGCAUAAAUACCGGGCAGGUAGCCCACAGUAAAUCAGUUCGUGUUUUACCCUCAAAGCGGAGCUUGGUCUCGUUAUUGGGGGAUUUUAUUACCGGCGCCUAGAGACUGUUUAUUGGAAUUAUUUGCCGCUUGGGAGAUAUUGGCGUUCGGCUAAUAUUGCCAGCUCGUGGAUUUGGAGUUCGUGAAAGGAAAGAGCCAUACAGGUACCGUUCGGGAGUUUGGAGUGUUCCCUAGCUGGCGGUUCGCAUGGUUAUACUGUACACGCUAACAGACCACAUUAUUGCGAAUGGGGAGCAUUCACUAAACGGCGGUUUGUACAUUUAUUACUGGAGGUACCGUAACAGAUAUAAUAAAUGCUGUGGUAAAACCAUCUUUCUUCCUGUCAUCAAUUCAAAAGGUGACAAUUUGGUAGCAGUGCUAGGGGUAGCUCUAAUCGCCAUUAAAACUAGGGGCUAUUUAAUGUCCCAGUCUUUACCAGACUCCUUAACAUACUUCUUCAGAAUAUUGACGAUAGACUGGUUAUAUCGCUCUACCCCCUGCUAGAUGCAGCGCGGUAUGCAAUAUGUAGCUUUUGUUUAACACCUAUAAUUUUCCACAUCUUAGCCAUUACUUCACUGGUAAAAUGACUACCUCUAUCUGACUCAAUUCUUUGAGGCAGACCGAACCUGGAAAAGACAUGGUUAAUCAACAAAGUGGCGNNNNNNNNNNNNNNNNNNNNNNNNNNNNNNNNNNNNNNNNNNNNNNNNNNNNNNNNNNNNNNNNNNNNNNNNNNNNNNNNNNNNNNNNNNNNNNNNNNNNCACACGGUACUAGUGUUCUCUUUACAUGGCAAAUACUCUAUCCAUUUUGUGUACAUACAUGUAACGGUUAACAUGUAUUUGUUACCUCUUGAAGAUCUUGUUACAGGACCUAUAAUGUCAAUUUGAAUAUCAGACCAGGGUNNNNNNNNNNNNNNNNNNNNNNNNNNNNNNNNNNNNNNNNNNNNNNNNNNNNNNNNNNNNNNNNNNNNNNNNNNNNNNNNNNNNNNNNNNNNNNNNNNNNAAUGACACCCCCCUCUUCUGAAGUGGUGCACGGUGGGUUGGACAAUGGGGUUGAUAUUGCGGACAAAUCAAGCAUCCCUGAGAGUAUGUCUUAACAGCUCUUAACAUGUGUGGCCAAUAUGCAUAACCACGCAAUAUCUCAUAUGUGAUCUUAUCACCACGAUGCCCAGAUGUAGGUGCAUCAUGUGCAUGUUGGAGCAUUAACCCUCUGUAUACAGUUGGGACUACCCAUUGUUGUAUACCAUGUUUAGAAGUUCUGACCAGCAACCCAUACAUGAUAAUACAUGAUACUAAAUUGGACUUUAUAUCUCAUCAAGAUUCGUAAAUCUUCAUUAUCUUUGCAAUCCACAUCUGUGAUGGGAUUGGCAAUAGGGUCUUCUAUAUGUCUAUAGCAUAUGCCUAUGACGGGAUCGUUAUUUUGACUGGUAAUCAGGUCCUCACUAGGAGCUUCUUGACUCCAUUGCACAACGUUUAAGUUGGCAUUAUCUCUAGCCUGUCGUCUAGUUAUGGCUUCAACAUGAAUUAAACCCAUAAGAUCAUCAUUGUUUAGGGUUUCACCAUUGAUGGCAGCUUGUUUUGCCAGUGAAUUGGCUAAGUCAUUACCAUCCUUGUCAAUACCUUCUAUUUUAGAAUGGCCUUUGGUUUUCUUCCAAUAUAUGGAUAAACCAUUUUCCUUAACCAGUUCAUAGAUUUUACAAAACAAUUUCCCAUGUUUGACAGGUUUGUUAUCGCUUUUCAGCAUUUGGUUACGUUUCCAGCAAGGCAGAUAUUCGAGGAAACUGUUGCGAACAUAGUUGGAAUCAGUUAUAAUAACAAAUUCUUUGAUACCAUAUUCUAUUGCCAUUUGAAUGGUCUUAUAUACUGCACAGAUUUCGGCUAUCUGACUGCUUUUGGAACCAAUAUUGUAUCCUAUAGAUACAUUGGGAUAAUCACCUGUCCAGGCGAUUCCGAUACCUGCAACUAACUUCCGUUCAGCACCAGCGGCGUGGUGAUAUGAACAACCAUCAAUGUAUACUCACGGUAGUGGUCGACAGUAUUCCUCGUCAUAAACUUUAUAAGGGGAUGGCAAUUGCUCUUCUGGAAAGUCAUCUCCGGUGUUAUUAUCAUCCAGAGAUGGAGCAGUACAGUCAUGUAAUUCUGCUAAACCUUGGGCAACUGGGCUUCUCUUAUUAUGUUUAUAACGGACUUCUAACGGCCAUCCCUGUAAAGAGUCCAUGCAGUAAUCCGACUGUUAGAGAGAUUACCGUCUCUGAUUCUUUCACUCUGCAGAUACUGUAGAGGUUGGUGAGCUGUUUCUACAAUUAUUUUCUCACCUUGGAUAUAGCUACGAAAAUUUUGUAGUACCCAGACAGUCGACAAUAACGCCUUCUCACACAUGUUAAAUUCAACUUCAACAGGUGACAAAGUCUUGCUAGCAUAUGCAAUAACUUUGUUUAGACUGUCCUGCUUCUGAUACAGAACAGCACUUAUGCUUAAAUCGGUAUAUCCUGUCUCCAGAUAGAAGGGUUUACCCCCCCUCUGGGUAUGCUAAACAGGGUGCCUGAGUGAGCUUACUCCUCAUUUCACUUACCGCUUGGUCCUGAGGCUCCCCCCCAGGUAGUUUCCUUUUUAAGCAGGUGUAAGAGUGGUUUUGUUAUUUCUGCACAGUUAUCUAUAAACGUACGGGAGCAUACCAAGGAACGAUCUUAAUUCCCUGAUGUUUGAAGGUGUUUUAGCCUUAAUUACAGCGUCAACCUUCUUCCUCUGGGGAUUUAAUCAUCCAGAAGUUACCUCAUGUCCGAGGAAGUUGACAUGGGUGCGACACAAUUGCGCCUUUUGUAAAGACAGUUUUAUCCCUGCCUCUCUUAACUGAGUGAGAACAUGUCUGAUCUCUAUGAUAUGCUUGUCAAAGGAAGUGCUUUUCAGCAAGACAUCAUCGACAUAUGAUAACGUUCCUCUCUCGAGUGCAUCAGGCAUAGCUUUAUGCAUGAACACAGCAAAUUCAUGACCAGAGUUUAUGUAACCGAAGGGCAUAUGGGUCCAGGUAUACUGCUGCUUUCCAAAUAUGAAGGCCAAUUUGUAUUGGUCUUCAUCAUGGACUCGUAUAGUCCAAUAUCCCUGUGCACAGUCAAUGUCAGUGAAUAUUUUGGAUCCCUGCGUUUGUCUAUGUAUGGCAUUGGCCAACCAGACAUAUAGACGCGUUUAUUUAGCUGUCGUAAGUCAGCGCAUAAACGCCAUUGUCCAUAGGUUUCAGAUCGGAUUAUUAUACGAACUGUGCACCGGACGUAUAAUGCCCCUUUCCUUUAAAUUCUGAAUGAUGUCUUGUAGACCAUCAUAUGACGCUAAUGGGAGUCUAAAUUGUUUGAUAAAUACAGGUGGUAAAUUUGGAUAAGUUUGUAUUCUGGCUACGUGGAGGUUAGUUAACCCACAGUCGUAGGAAUCUUUGGCAAAAAUAUCUUGGAAUUCCAUUAGGAUUUCCUUUAGCUGUUGCCGCUCAGCAUCGUUGGAGCAACCGUCAGCCAAAGAUAUUUGCUCUUCUAGCCUUUCCUGAAAUCCUGGAAAUUUCAGGCUGGCCUAUCUCAUAAGCUUCUUCAAGCAUAGAAGUUAGGUCAGUUCGGUGUUGACUUACCUUUUUGUCAUCGUGAUACUCUUGUUAUUCCUGCUCAUUGAGCGGAUGAUCGAAGGUGAUUGAUGCUUCUUCGAUUUUACACGAGCCUUCUUCAACGUUGAAGGGAUACACAGAUAGUUUGUGAAUAAUCCUUCUGGGGGGAGGAAUGAAAUAUUUGAUCGACAAUUUCAUCCUCAGUUAAGUAUUCUUCAGGGAUGAGGCCUAUAAUUUGGUUUUGGAAACCAAAUGUAUAGUACUCAGCAUCCAAUACUAGACCUAAUAAUGUUCCUUUUGGUAAAGUAACACUAUUGGGUGUAACAUUGUUAACGAUUAUAUAGGUGGGAUUCUUACCAAUAUCUUACCAUUGGUGGAUGUGUUACCACCAUCCCUAAUUGUUGUAUCCUGUUGGAUAAACAGAUUAGGGCAUCAGAGUUUUCCAAUCUCUGACCCUUCUUGACCUGUAGGGGUAAAAGAAAGUUACUUGUCCCUUGUGGAAUGGUUAUGUCAUCAGGUACUUGGAUACUUACCUCAUAUGGGAGUAUUUGUCCUGAUUUCAGGGCGUUUUCCUCGUGUAGGUAUCCACAAGGAUUACCUUUUAACCUUGUCCACAAGUUGGAAUUAAUCAGGUCAAGGUGUAUGGCAAAGCGAUGUAUGACAUCGUUGACAAUGUAAACCUGAUAGCGAGGUUCGUUUAUCACUAGGAAUAAAUGUUUAACUGUCUUAUUUCCGAUGGAAAUAGAUAGUAAACAUUUUGCUAUCACAUUGUGACUCUCUGAUUCGCCAUCCAGGUUCUGGAUCCACCUGUCAUGCGGGGAAGUGUACCUGAUCAUUUUAGGAUUAGCGAUCUGUUUUAACAGACCUGCUAAUAUAGCUGUUCUCACUCUUUAAGUCCAGCUUUGCAUUCCUACUUCUUCCUAAGUCAUUUAUUUGCAUAGGAAAGAAUAAGUUGUUAUUAACCCUUUCAAUUCUGGCAAGUAAUUGAGCAUGACCUGCCAGAUCUACAGAUUCAACAUAGUCCCUGUGGAGAGAAAUGGUUAAAACAUCAUUCUGGAUCCUCUCUGGAGCAACUCUUACAGAAUGCUCAUCUACAGGUGCGAUUGCAUCAUUCACCUGCAGGAUAGUCACGUCAGGUGACUGACUAUUCCUAAAAUGUACCUCGAUCGAGUCAGGUCUUUCUUCUAUCACAUGGCAGUUACGAUCGUUUGAACAUGUGAUUUCUCAGGGGUUAUAGGAACCUUAGCUUGUGACCAUACAAUUCCAUUUAUACAGUCAAUAAUUGUGUUAAGUCUUCUGAGUAUGUCUAUACCCAGAAUCAGUCGGUCAUAGUGGAGAUCUACCACUAUCACCGGAUGUCUAAAGGUUUUGUUAUCUAUUUUAAACUUUAACCAGGUAUUGCCAGUAACAUGAAGGGCAUUUCCUCCUACACUCAACAGAGCAUUGGGGAAAUCUCUUAGCUUCGGCUUAGUCCAUUACCUGCUGGAAGUAGGUAUUGGAUAAGAUAGUGGCUUGUGUAUUGUGAACCCUUUGAAAGGCUGGGGUAGCGAAUCCUGUAUUUCUACAGACAUACCUUCCUUCAUGUUCUUCUAAUUCACAUAAGAAGUUAGAAUGUGUCAACAUAUCACUCGUUUUCCAUACGUUACCUGUCACAGCAGUAGUUUCUACCUGUACUGAGGAAUGCUCAGUCUUACCCACAGGCCCAUCCUUUUUAGGAACAUCUUGAGCUGUCAAGCGGGAACUAGUGGUCGGCAUCUCAUCAGUUUACCCUUUCGGGUCUGGAUCCUGGAAACUAGUGGCUGCUGGGGCUAUUUUAGCCUUUGGCUGAAAUGAAAAAACAGAGGAACACGUUCCGGAAGUGAAGUGAAGUGAUGGGGAAGGCAAUAGGUUUUCUAACACAACUAUUGUUUGUUUGACUAUUAGUACCUGGAAAGGAAACAGGGUUAGGUAUUACAUCUACUGACAACCAGGCCUGUUUAGUCACAGUGGCUAUUAUUGCUGUGGCACCUGUUGCUGCUGCUGCAGUUGCACAGGUGGCUCUGCUAUUGGAGCUAUACCUAAAAAAAGGAUUUCUGGCAAAGACUUGGUUAAUCUUUGUCAUUUCCUCCAUUAAUUUGCCCAACUGGUCUGUCAAUUGACCAACCUGACGACGCAAAUUAUUUCUCCCAUUGCCAUUUUGUCUUUGCCCAUUAGAAUUUGGCUGGGAUGGCUGAGACAGUUCGGAGUUACUGGAAGCAGAUUGGUUAUUUUCAUAUCUCCUAUUUCCCUAAAGAUUCCUUCUCCAUUGGGAAUUGCCUUGGUUCUUAUUAACCCACUGGCAUUGGACUUUUCAGAGUUACUAUCAGAGGAGUUUACAGGAUUGCUUCCGGCGGUUUCCUGUUUCUGAGGUUUUGUAGAUUUCAAAACCUCAGAAUAGGUCCUCUUUUUCUGUUGGGUUUCUAAACCUAACUGAAUUUUAGUCUCUGACAUGAUUUUCUUCAUGUGCAUGGUGUAUAGUAUACAAUUUCAUGCACUGACUGACUAGACAUUCUAAUGGUAACUUACAAUCAUAAUCUCUUGCGAGAUUCAUUUGUAUGAUUACCGGCAUGGCAUUAAAAUACAGAUCUUUGAAGUCUGUAUUUUUAUACCUGGGUUUCCUUUGGGCCACGGAAUAUGCAUUUUUAAGAAUUAUUAAAAAUUCUCUGGGGCUUUGAUCUGGACGGCACUUUAACUUAUAAAGCGCUUUCUUAGCAGAGGCAACGGUUUUAUACUUACCGUAUUCCAUGAUUAUUUCAUAUUUCAUCUUGGACCAGGACAUUAGCUGAAUAGCUUGAAGACUUUCUAAAUAAACACGGUACAUUGAAUCAAAGGUCCAUGUAAUGAACCAUUUCUUUUGGAUUUCAUCAUACAUGCCCAAUGAAUUCAUGGCUCUUUCAUAAUUUUCCAGAUGUUCAGAUAUGUUUCCUGAACCUCUAGAAAAUUGUGGGACUGUCUCUUUAAGGAAUUUAAUAACCUUUGGUGUUUCAUAAACAGGCAUAUUUGAUUUAUUAACUCUGUUUCUAUCCACCCUUCUUUUUGGUAAACGUCUAUGCGAUCUGGCUGCUGAAGAGGAAUUAGAUCCGUACAACAGUGCAGAUGGCAUAUCAUUCACAUGGCCUUCAGAGUGGACAGUGCAAUCACUUUCACUCCCAUUACUCUGAGCUUCUCGUUCACUGUCACAAUUCUGAUCUGCAUCAGAGUUCUGCCAGUGUACAGAACCAUGUCUGUUUUCAUUCCUAUCACCUUGAACCUGAUUCCCUCCGUCAAGUUUGGCCAAGACAGUCUUUUCAAACUGUUCUGCUUGGCAAUGUCAUGAGAUGGGGAAUCUUGUUCCACGGGUGAUUUUUUAGAAUUACUCAUCUUUUCUUUGAGACUGUUCUAUGAAAACCUGGUCUGGUGUGUGAAUAUCAGGGAAUUGAGAAGAAUUGUCAUUUUUCACUUUCCUUUUGAUAUUCAUCUAAUUGUAUCUGUAUCUGUUUUAUCUGUCGAUCAUAAUCAUCCACCAUUUUGCUCAUUCCUUCCAGUUUAUUUGAAAGAAACCUUCUUUGUUCGAGCACCAGGUCUUUCUGACACUUGUCCAAUUUAAGUUCUAUCUCAUUAUGCUUUUUUAACAUAAGUGAAUAACCCAAUAUGAAAAACGGGCAUGAUUUGGUAACAGAUUGCAUUGUAAAUUCUUCUUCUAUGUUGCUAAAAUAUUUAACCAUAGGUGAAUUACUCGAUUUAUCAUGAAUUGAAUUAUAAACUUGUUCUCUAAUUUGGAGUACCCACUCUUUAUAAUCCAUUUUAAUCUUUAGAUGCUUAUGUAAAAUGCUUAAGGGAAAAACUUGUACUUCUGCUAACUUCUUCGCAUUCUCUGAUUGGGAUGAAGCGCUGGAUUCAGCCAUUUUUCUAUACACUGAUUUAAUCUCAAUACAAAACUCUUUCCUAUAUCAUGAAUUACAAAAUAGCAACGCCUCAGAAUUAUUGUAUGGAAUAAAAUUUCAACUUAAUGAUCUCAGCAGUGUGCCUCCAAUAUGUGGGGAUAUUUAUGGGAUGAUAAUAUUAAGCAGUCGAGAAUUGCCCACUAUUUCAAUUCUCUUAGAUCUUAGAGAUCGUUAUCAAAUAAGUGAAACAGCACCAUCUGUCACUUAAGAUUUAUGAGGGUAUCCUUACAGACAAAAAGUAAAGCUUUUCACAGCGAAGAGCCAUAAAACCUUGGCUAACAGUUAAAACAACUGAGUAACCCUUUCAAUGCUGGCUAGACCCUACUAGGCAUAUAGUAUCCUAUUCUCCUGUGAUUUUCAAUUAAAAUAACAUUCAGACCAGCUCAUUAGUAAUUUCCUGGAACCAUCCAAUAAGAAUAAUCUACCAGAUUCUAUAAGCCGAAUUUUAAUUUGCCUAAAAAGAUAUCUUAUCUUAUUUUAGAGCAAAUCAAUACACCUGGAUAAAAACAGCGGUAUGCUAACACGUGAUAAUAUCACAUUAAUAUAUAAUUAUUCUUAAUUCCACCUGCAGAAUGGAAUGUAUAUAUUCUUUAGUUAACUAAAAUUUCUAAACAUUGAAAUCUGACUGUGAUUAGUGAUGUCGCGUUACUACCUCGGGAAGAGAGCCAUGCGGCAGUGGAGAAGGAGUGUUUAUCCCUGGUCUGGGCACUGAAGAAGCUGAGCCCUUAUUUAUACGGGCAGGAAUUCUCCCUUAUAACGGACCACAACCCCCUGGUCUGACUUAACCGGGUCUCAGGAGACAAUGGUAGAUUGCUGCGGUGGAGUUUAGCCCUCCAACCUUAUAACUUCACUAUCAGCUACCGACCUGGUAAGCAGAACGGGAAUGCUGAUGGAUUGUCCAAGCAAACUGACCUCCCUACCACCUCCUAGUCUGGUCAUCCCCAAGUUGACCCGCCAAAGGGUCAAGCCGGGUCUGCCGGAGUGUCCCACAAGGAGGGAGCUGUGUGACAGAUCCAUCUGUCUAAGUACUAUCUGCUGGUUCGUCUAUUUUGUUAUACAGUCGUGGAAUUACUUGCCUGUACGUCCCUGUUCGUUUAUUUCAGUUUAUACCGAAUAAAACAACCGAAAGUCCGGCCACCCAGAAGAGAGGUGUGCUGCUGGUUAAACUAUUGGCCUCAAUUUGAACGUUGUGGUUAACCGCAGACACCUCUUAAUUGGAACUGUAUGCUGGGUGGUCGUCGUUCGUAUGUCAACCACGAGGCGGCGGCCAUUUUAAACACACGAAUGAGCAGCGGUGUUCGACGAUGAACUUAUGGAUAGUGAUGUCGCGAACACAAAAUUUUCGGUUCGCGAACGGCGAACGCGAACUUCCGCAAAUGUUCGCGAACCGGCGAACCGGGCAAACCGCCAUUGACUUCAAUGGGCAGGCGAAUUUUAAAACACACAGGGACUCUUUCUGGCCACAAUAGUGAUGGAAAAGUUGUUUCAAGGGGACUAACACCUGGACUGUGGCAUGCCGGAGGGGGAUCCAUGGCAAACCUCCCAUGGAAAAUUACACAGUUGAUGCAGAGUCUGGUUUUAAUCCAUAAAGGGCAGAAAUCACCUAACAUUCCUAAAUCACAAUGAAUAUGGAUUGACACCUGACAUAUGACAUAUUGACACCUUGACCUAUGGAUUGACACCGGUCCUCAGAGCCCCUGAUGCACACGGACACAGAGCAGAAUAGGGACUGGUCCCCCUACAUAGGGUCACUUGGCAGAUAUGGAUUGACACCUGUCCUAAGGAUCCCUGAUACACACUGACACAGAGCAGAAUAGGGACUGUUCCUCCUACAUAGGGUCACUUGGCAGAUAUGGAUUGACACCUGUCCUCAGAGACCAUGAUACACACUGACACAGAGCAGAAUAGAGACUGUUCCCCCUACAUAGGGUCACUUGGCAGAUAUGGAUUGACACCUGUCCUCAGAGAUCCCUGAUACACACUGACACAGAGCAGAAUAGAGAGACUGUUCCUCCUACAUAGGGUCACUUGGCAGAUAUGGAUUGACACCUGUCCUCAGAGACCAUGAUACACACUGACACAGAGCAGAAUAGAGACUGUUCCUCCUACAUAGGGUCACUUGGCAGAUAUGGAUUGACACCUGUCCUCAGAGACCAUGAUACACACUGACACAGAGCAGAAUAGAGACUGUUCCCCCUACAUAGGGUCACUUGGCAGAUAUGGAUUGACACCUGUCCUAAGGAUCCCUGAUACACACUGACACAGAGCAGAAUAGGGACUGUUCCCCCUACAUUGGGUCACUUGGCAGAUAUGGAUUGACACCUGUCCUAGGGUCCCCGAUACACACUGACACAGAGCAGAAUAGGGACUGUUCCCCCUACAUAGGGUCACUUGGCAGAUAUGGAUUGACACCUGUCCUCAGAAACCAUGAUACACACUGACACAGAGCAGAAUAGAGACUGUUCCCCUACAUAGGGUCACUUGGCAGAUAUGGAUUGACACCUGUCCUCAGAGACCAUGAUACACACUGACACAGAGCAGAAUAGGGACUGUUCCCCUACAUCGGGUCACUUGGCAGAUAUGGAUUGACACCUUGUUACAAACUGCUAUUUGUAACUGGCCCUUUAAAUGGCAAAUUGCCCUGCUUCCCUGGGUUGUGGAGAAGCCUAUUUGCCAGCCUCCUCCCGCAUGACUAUGGCCCCUGGGAGAUUGUGAAAAUGUAUGCACUUUUAUUUGGUGUGUAUGGCCCUUUAAGACUGUCAGUGGGCAUAUUGGGGCUUAUGGACUCUUUAUGUGACUGGUGCUGGCCCUUUAAACACCUUUUUUGGGACAUCAGGAAGAUUGGGACACUGCCCCUUUAAGGCCGUGUCCCCAGACUUGUUGGGGACACUGCCCCUUUAAGACGGUGUCCCCUGUGUCCCCAGACCUGGUGCAAACCCUUUGUGCCUGCCUGGCUAUUUCACACUUGGUUCAGUAAAUGGGGCUUACUGAACCAAGUACCACACAGGCAGACCACCCAGAAGUGGAAGUGUGCAGGCAAUUUACCUCCCAGAAGCUGCGGUUAACCGCAGCUUAAUUGACAAUGCUGGGAGGUCUUUGUUCGUUUGCCAAACACAUGGUGGCGGCCAUCUUUGAUCAUUCGACGAGGUCAGCGGUAUGUGUAGCCAAAUUCAUGGAACUAAAAUCGGCUACACAUUUCAGCGAACACCGCUGAGGUCUACCUUCUCCCCUACUGGUUUUACAGCUGCAGAGACUAAGUCCCGUUCGGCAAUGGGACUUAGUCGUUUUUUCAGCCGUUUUUUUCAGCCUUAUUUCAGCUGCAGAGACUAAGUCCCAUUCGGCGUUUUUUCAGCCUGAAAUAGACCGACCGCACAGCCCAAAUCUAUGGAACUGUUUUGGGCAGGAAAAUGUGCUUGCGGUCGGUCAUAAAGGGACCUCCAGCUAACUUUUUAACCCCUGGAUGGAUUUGGCUGAUUUUUGGUUAUGUUUAUAUUUUAAGUGUGCUGAUUCCAAAUAUGUAAUUGUUAUGAAGAUGGGAUGUGUAGUUUUAAAGUUACAGUGUAUGGAUAAAAACUGUAUUUUUACUGCCUGUGUUUAAUUAUGUUAAUCUCUUCCCAAACGUCAUUUCGUUCAAAGUGGAGAGAAUGUUAAAAAAUAUAUUUUUGUUCGGAGUGUGAGAAAUGCUUUUCAGCCGCUUCUAAUCUUAAGCAUCAUUUGAGGAGCCAUACAGGAGAGAAACCUUAUUUGUGGUGUGUUUAGUAUUGUUCUGAUCAGUUUAAUACCUUCCGCGUCUCCUAUCAGUGGACGUGUAUAUGGCAGCCAUUUUAGGAACCGUACACCUGGGACUCGAGCAAGGUCACCUCGUUCAACAGGCUUGCAGCGUAUCCUCCAGGAAGAAGAGCCUGAACCCUUACCGGCUGCACGUGUCUUACCUGUACAUGGAAAGCUGCUCUGGUUCCUUGAUGAGCCAGCUGCCCGUGAGUUAACAUGUCCGUGGAGAAGCACUCUGUCCUGUAAAGCCUCACCAAAAAAAAGGAGUGGUGUGUUUAGUAUUGUUCUGAUCAGUUUAAUACCUUUCGCGUCUCCUAUCAGUGGACGUGUAUAUGGCAGCCAUUUUAGGAACCGCACACCUGGGACCCGAGCAAGGUCACCUCGUUCAACAGGCGACAACAUUUGUCCCUGGAAAUCUAUCCUGGACAUUAUGUACAAUUUGUAUGGAUAUGGCAGUGAUUUCUGUAACAGGGAGAUGGAAGAAGAUGCUUGGUCGGUCCUCUUACUGCAAAUUUGGGGCACUGCGUGGUCAAGCUAAUGUGACACCAGAUAGGAGUGGUGUGUUUAGUACUAUUUUUAUCAGUUUAAUACCUUCCGCGUCUCCUAUCAGUGGACGUGUAUAUGGCAGUGAUUUCUGUAACAGGGAGAUGGAAGAAGAUGCUUGGUCGGUCCUCUUACUUCAAAUUUAAAAGCGUCUUUAAAGCGUCCUGUCCUUGCCGGCGUGGUCGUGGGAGGAGGAGGAUGACUUCCACCUCUCCCCCUGUUAGAUUCCCGUUGUGCUGUGACAUCACCCCUAUACGCUGUGUAAAGCAUACUUUUUAAUUUAUUUUGCAAAUGCUGCAUCCUUUCCGACUUGUUGUAAUUUGGUAAUAUUUCCGCCACCAGAUAGGAGAAACAUAGAAUGUGACGGCAGAUAAGAACCAUUCGGCCCAUCUAGUCUGACCAAUUUUCUAAAUACUUUCAUUAGUCCCUAGUCUUAUCUUAUAGUUAGGAUAGCCUUAUGCCUAUCCCACGCAUGCUUAAACUCCUUUACUGUGUUAACCUCUACCACUUCAGCUGGAAGGCUAUUCCAUGCAUCCACUACCCUCUCAGUAAAGUAAUACUUCCUGAUAUUAUUUUUAAACCUUUGUCCCUCUAAUUUAAGACUAUGUCCUCUUGUUGUGGUAGUUUUUCUUCUUUUAAAUAUAGUCUCCUCCUUUACUGUGUUGAUUCCCUUUAUAUAUUUAAAUGUUUCUAUCAUAUCCCCCCUGUCUCGUCUUUCCUCCAAGCUAUACAUGUUAAGAUCCUUUAACCUUUCCUGGUAAGUUUUAUCCCGCAAUCCAUGAACCAGUUUAGUAGCCCUUCUCUGAACCCUCUCUAAGGUAUCAAUAUCCUUCUGAAGAUACUGUCUCCAGUACUGUGUACAAUACUCCAAGUGAGGUCUCACCAGUGUUCUGUACAAUGGCAUGAGCACUUCCCUCUUUCUACUGCUAAUACCUCUCCCUAUACAACCAAGCAUUCUGCUAGCAUUUCCUGCUGCUCUAUUACAUUGUCUGCCUACCUUUUAAGUCAUCAGAAAUAAUCACCCCUAAAUCCCUUUCCUCAUAUGUUGAGGUUAGGACUCUAUCAAAUAUUCUGUACUCUGCCCUUGGGUUUUUACGUCCAAGAUGCAUUAUUUUGCACUUAUCCACAUUAAAUGUCAGUUGCCACAAUUCUGACCAUUUUUCUAGUUUACCUAAAUCAUUUGUCAUUUGGCUUAUCCCUCCUGGAACAUCAACCCUGUUACAUAUCUUAGUAUCAUCAGCAAAAAGACAUACCUUACCAUCAAGACCUUCUGCAAUAUCACUAAUAAAAAUAUUAAAGAGAAUGGGUCCAAGUACAGAUCCCUGAGGUACCCCACUGGUGACAAGUCCAAGCUUCGAAUAUAUUCCAUUAACUACAACCCUCUGUUGCCUGUCACUCAGCCACUGCCUUACCCAUUCAACAAUGUUGGAAUCCAAACUUAAAGAUUGCAGUUUAUUGAUAAGCCUUCUAUGUGCAACAGUGUCAAAAGCCUUACUGAAAUUUAGGUAAGCAAUGUCUACUGCACCACCCUGAUCUAUUAUUUUAGUUACCCAAUCAAAAAAAUCAAUAAGAUUAGUUUGGCAUGAUCUCCCUGAAGUAAACCCAUGUUGUCUCUGAUCUUGAAAUCCAUGUGUUUUUAGAUGUUCAACAAUCCUAUCCUUUAACAUGGUUUCCAUCACUUUCCCCACUACUGAAGUAAGGCUUACUGGCCUAUAGUUGCCCGACUCCUCCCUAUUACCUUUCUUGUAAAUGGGCACAACAUUCGCUAACUUCCAAUCUUCUGGGACUACUCCUGUUAACAAUGAUUGGUUAAAUAAAUCUGUUAAUGGUUUUGCUAGUACACCACUAAGCUCUUUGAAUAGCUUUGGGUGUAUUCCAUCAGGUCCCAUUGACUUAUUUGUCAUUACUUUUGACAGUUGAAAUAGAACCUCUUCCUCUUUAAACUCACAUGUAAUAAAUGACUCAUUUAUCCUUUUUCUCAACUGAGGUCCCUUUCCUUCAUUUUCUUCUGUAAAUACAGAACAAAAAUAUUCAUUGAGGCAGUCAGCCUGACCUUUAUCCUCUUCUACAUACCUUCCUUCUUUUGUUUUUAAUCUAACUAAUCCUUGUUUUACUUUUCUUUUCUCAUUUAUGUAUCUAAAAAAUGUUUAUCCCCCUUUUUUACUGACUGUGCUAUUUUCUCUUCUGUGUGUGAUUUGGAAGCUCUUAUAACUUGCUUAGCCUCUUUCUGCCUAAUCUUAUAGAUCAUUUUGUCUUCCUCACUCUGGGUUUUUUUAUAAUUCCUAAAUGCUAACUUUUUGUUUUAACUAUUUUGGCCACAUCUGCGGAGUACCACAGUGGUUUCUUGAAUUUUUUGCUUUUACUGACAAGCCUAAUGCAAUUUUCUGUUGCCUUCAAUAGUGCAACUUUUAAAUAAUCCCAUUUCUCUUGGACUCCAUUUAAAUUGCUCCAGUCUGAUAAUGACUCCUCUACACAUAUUCUAAUUUUAGAAAAGUCUGUUUUUCUAAAGUCUAAAACUUUUGUUUUUGUGUGGUGUGACUCAGUCACUGUUCUUAUAUUAAACCACACUGACUGAUGAUCACUGGAUCCUAAACUUUCACCUACAGUAACAUCUGAUAUCAAAUCUCCAUUUGUUAACACUAAAUCUAGUAUGGCCUCUUUACGAGUUGGCUCCUCAACAACUUGUUUUAGAGACAAUCCCAGUAAGGAGUUUAGAAUAUGUGUGUUCCUGGCACAAGUAGCUACAUUUGUUUUCCAAUUUACAUCAGGAAGAUUAAAGUCACCCAUGAUGAUAACUUCCCCCUUCAUUGUCAUUUUAGCUAUUUCCUCAACUAGUAGAUUAUCUAACUCUUCAAUUUGUCCUGGGGGCCUAUAAAUCACACCUACACGAGUUACUGUGUGAUUACCAAAUUCUAGCGUAGCCCAAACGGACUCUAUGUUUGCCUCACUAACUUUUAUUAGGCUAGAUUUUAUGCUAUCCUUCACAUACAAGGCCACCCCUCCCCCUUUCUUGCCUUCCCUAUCUUUCCUAUAUAAAGAGUACCCUGGUAUUGCUAUGUCCCAGUCAUUUUUCUCAUUGUACCAUGUCUCAGUAACAGCGACUAAAUCUACACUAUCAGCUGCCAUUAUUGCCACAAGUUCAUGGAUCUUAUUCCCUAAACUGCGAGCAUUUGUAGACAUGACUCUAAGCUUAUCAUUUUUUAACACACUUGCUACAGGCACCUUCUGUCCUUGUAUUGGGGGACAAUUGGAUUGAUGUUUUAUCACCCUUUUGCCCCCCCCUCCUAGUUUAAAUACAUCCUAGCAAGUUAAAUACAUCCUAGCAGGAGUGGUGUGUUUAUUACUGUUCUGAUCAGUUUAAUACCUUCCGCGUCUCCUAUCAGUGGACGUGUAUAUGGCAGUGAUUUCUGUAACAGGGAGAUGGAAGAAGAUGCUUGGUCGGUCCUCCUAACUGGAGACUGUGUUGCUGUACGGGUGGCAGGUGGAGCCAUUUAUAAAGUACCCACUGCUUUGCAGACCAGGUAUCAGUGGUCAGAUGGACCCUUGCCCCAACACUGUGUGCCAGACAUGCCAUUACUUCCUUUUGCACAGUCGAGAACAGGUUGGGGAUUGCCUUUUGCGCAAAUAAAUUUUGGCCGGGUACCUUCCACUGCGGUGUCCCAAUAGCUACAAAUUUUUUGAACGCCUCAGACUCCACCAGAUUGUAUGGUAAAAGCUGGUGGGCUAAUAGUUCAGAAAAGCCAGGUGUCAGACGCCGGGCAAGGGGGUGACUUUCUGACGCUUGCAGACAACUAACUGCUAUUCAAUCUAUAACAGUGAAAAAAGUUUUGAAGCCACAGUGCAGCACCAGAGGGCCUAAAAAUUAGGCAUGUACACAUGCCUGAAAAAUUCGGUAUUGUUGCAGCCGCUGCUGUAGCAGUGGCCAGAAAAAUUGAUGUUUGUUUCACAGGCAGAAAGUGCCCUACAACAUGGCGGCUUGAACCCUAGUUGGUGGCGGAUAAGUCACGCAAGUCAACCGGCAUUCAGAGCUAAAAUACAGCAGCGUGUGGACCAUUUUUAGCCCAAGGCAGCUCAUCUCAUCAGGCCUUUUUUAAUCUAAUGUAUCGCCCAGUGUCAGUCCCUUCGGGAUCCAUCCCUCAUUCAUCUUAAUAAAGGUGAGGUAAUCUAGACUUUUUUGACCUAGGCGACUUCUCUUCUCAGUGACAAUACCUCCUGCUGCACUGAAGGUCCUUUCUGACAGGACACUUGAAGCGGGGCAGGCCAGAAGUUCUAUCGCAAAUUGGGAUAGCUCAGGCCACAGGUCAAGCCUGCACACCCAGUAGUCAAGGGGUUCAUCGCUCCUCAGAGUGUCGAUAUCUGCAGUUAAGGCGAGGUAGUCUGCUACCUGUCGGUCGAGUCGCUCUCUGAGGGUGGAUCCCGAAGGGCUGUGGCGAUGCGUAGGACUUAAAAAGGUCCGCAUGUCCUCCAUCAACAACACGUCUCUAAAGCGUCCUGUCCUUGUCGGCGUGGUCAUGGGAGGAGGAGGAUGACUUCCACCUCUCCCCCUGUUAGAUUCCCGUUGUGCUGUGACAUCACCCUUAUACGCUGUGUAAAGCAUACUUUUCAAUUUAUUUUGCAAAUGCUGCAUCCUUUCAUACUUGUUGUAAUUCGGUAACAUUUCCGCCACUUUCUGUUUAUACCGGGGGUCUAGUAGCGUGGACACCCAGUACAGGUCGUUCUCCUUCAGCCUUUUUAUACGAGGGUCCCUCAACAGGCACGACAGCAUGAAAGACCCCAUUUGCACAAGGUUGGAUGCCGAGCUACUCAUUUCCUGUUCCUCCUCCUCAGUGAUCUCAAUGAAGGUAUGUUCUUCCCCCCAGCCACGUACAACACCACGGGUACCAGAUAGGUGACAACGAGCACCCUGGGAUGCCUGUUGUGGUUGGUCUUCCUCCUCCUCCUCCUCAAAGCCACAUUCCUCCUCUGACUCCUCUUCCUCACAAUCCUUUUCCAGCGUUGCCGCAGGUCCAGCAAGCGAUUCUGAUAAGGCUGUUUCUGGUGGUGAUGGUGACCACAACUCUUCCUCUUCCUCUUCACGCUCAUCUACGGCCUGAUCCAGCACUCUUCGCAGGGCACGCUCCAGGAAGAAAACAAAUGGUAUGAUGUCGCUGAUGGUGCCUUCGGUGCGACUGACUAAAUUUGUCACCUCCUCAAAAGGACGCAUGAGCCUACAGGCAUUGCGCAUGAGCGUCCAGUAACGUGGCAAAAAAAUUCCCAGCUCCCCAGAGGCUGUCCUAGCACCCCGGUCAUACAAAUAUUCAUUAACGGCUUUUUCUUGUUGGAGCAGGCGGUCGAACAUUAGGAGUGUUGAAUUCCAACGUGUCGGGCUGUCGCAAAUCAAGCGCCUCACUGGCAUGUUGUUUCGCCGCUGGAUAUCGGCAAAGUGAGCCAUGGCCGUGUAGGAACGCCUGAAAUGGCCACACACCUUCCUGGCCUGCUUCAGGACGUCCUGUAAGCCUGUGUACUUAUGCACAAAGCGUUGUACGAUCAGAUUACACACAUGUGCCAUGCACGGCACAUGUGACAACUUGCCCAACUUCAAUGCCGCUAACAAAUUUGUUCCGUUGUCACAAACCACUUUGCCGAUAUCCAGUCGCUGCGGAGUCAGCCACUUUUCCACCUGUGCGUUCAGGGCGGACAGGAGUGCUUGUCCGGUGUGACUCUCUGCUUUCAAGCAAGUCAAACCCAAGACGGCGUGACACUGCCGUAUCCGGGAUGUGGAAUAGUACCUGGGGAGCUGGGGGUGUGCCGUUGAUGUGGAGCAAGACGCAGCAGCAGAAGAGGACUCAGCCGAGGAGGUUAUGGAAGAGGAUGGAGUAGGAGGAGUAGAGAAGGUGGCAGCAGGACUGCCUGCAAGUCGUGGCGGUGUCACCAACUCCUCUGCAGAGCCAUGCAUUCCAUGCUUGGCAGCAGUCAGCAGGUUUACCCAAUGCGCAGUGUAGGUGAUAUACCUGCCCUGACCAUGCUUUGCAGACCAGGUAUCAGUGGUCAAAUGGACCCUUGCCCCAACACUGUGUGCCAGAGAUGCUAUUACUUCCUUUUGCACAAUUGAGUACAGGUUGGGAUUGCCUUUUGCGAAAAGUAAUUUCGGCCGGGUACCUUCCACUGCGGUGUCCCAAUAGCUACAAAUUUUUUGAACGCCUCAGACUCCACCAGCUUGUAUGGUAAAAGCUGGCGGGCUAAUAGUUCGGACAAGCCAGCUGUCAGACGCUGGGCAAGUGGGUGACUUUCUGACAUUGGCUUCUUACGCUCAAACAUGUCCUUAACAGACACAUGACUGUGGGCAGAUGAGCAGGAACUGCUCAAGGCGGGAGACGGAGUGGCGGAUGGUUGAGAGGGGGCAAGGAGGACAGCAGUGGUUGACGUGGCUGAAGAUGCUGGACAAGGAGGAGGAUGGCGGCUUAGAGUAGGCGUGCUGCUUGUACUCAUGUGUUGAUCCUAUAGGCGUUUGUAAUGUGAGAUCAUGUGCCUACGCAAAGCAGUUGUACCUAGGUGGGUGUUGGACUUCCCACGACUCAGUUUCUUUUGGCACAGGUUGGCAUCGCUGUUGUCAGAGGCAGACACACAAAAAAAAUUCCACACUGCUGAGCUCUGCAAUGACGGCAUUCUGGUGGUGGACACAGCAUGCGUUGAUUGGCGUGCUGUCGGGCUGACCCCGGGUGCCGAUGCAUGCUGUCUGACUGUGCCACUAGCUCCUUGCGACGACCUCCCCCUGCUUCCAACUCGUCUCCUCCUCCUCCCUCUGUCUCCGCAUCUGAACUUUCGCCCUGUUCUUCUUCUUGCCGAGCGGGCACCCACGUGACAUCCAUGGACGCAUCGUCAUCAUCAACCGCUUCACUUGUAUCUGACAACUCAGCAAAGGAAGCAGCAGCGGGUACAACAUCAUCAUUAUCAUCACACCGUACGUCCAUGUGUGUAAUGCCUGAGACAUAUCCCUGUUAUCUACAUCCUCUGGCAAUAAUGGUUGCGCAUCACUCAUUUCUUCAAACGGAUGUGUGAAUAACUACUCUGACAUACCAAGUGAAACGGCUGUGGUGCUAGUUUUGGUGGUGGCGGCAGGCAGGUGAGUGGUAUCUUGAGAGGUGCCUGAAGCUAAGCUGGAGGAGGAUGGUGCGUCAAGGUUCUGAGCGGAGGCUGUAGAAGACUGGGUGUCCUGUGUCCUGCUUUUCAAGUUCAGGGUACGUGGCCUCUGAAAACUGGGCAUUAUUCUAGGGCCAAAGGGAAUCACAGCACCACGACCACGUUGGCCCCUGCGGGGUGGCCUACCUCUGCCUGUCAUUUUUUGGGGGAUUAGUGGUACUAUGCGUGCAAGCUACUGUGAGACCAGAUAUGAGUGGCAAUGUGCACUGGCAUAGUUGUGCAGGGCACAGGCUGUAGGCCUGACAGACCCUCUUUAAGGACACUGACUGCUAUUCAAUCUAUAACAGUGAAAAAAGUUUUUUGUUUUUAAAUGCAAGCUAUUGUGACACCAGAUAUGAGUGAGUGGUGGCACUGGGCACCGUAUCCACUGUGAGCUUAACACACCCGCUUUAAAGACACUGACUGCUAUUCAAUCUAUAACAGUGAAAAAAGUUUUUUGUUUUUAAAUGCAAGCUAUUGUGACACCAGAUAUGAGUGGUGGCACUGACUGGGCAAAUGGGCACCGUAUCCACUGUGAGCUUGACACACCCGCUUUAAGGACACUGACUGCUAUUAAAUCUAUAACAGUGAAAAAAGUUUUUUGUUUUUAAAUGCAAGCUAUUGUGACACCAGAUAUGAGUGCAUGGUGGCACUGGGCACCGUAUCCACUGUGAGCUUAACACACCCGCUUUAAGGACACUGACUGCUAUUCAAUCUAUAACAGUGAAAAAAGUUUUUUGUUUUUAAAUGCAAGCUAUUGUGACACCAGAUAUGAGUGAGUGGUGGCACUGGGCACCGUAUCCACUGUGAGCUUAACACACCCGCUUUAAGGACACUAUUCAAUCUAUAACAGUGAAAAAAGUUUUUUGUUUUUAAAUGCAAGCUAUUGUGACACCAUGUAACGAUACCUUACCUGGGUCCGCCGAUCCCGCGCGGCACGACAGCUUCCCCGGCUACUUCCGGGAGGCGGCACAGCCUCUCGGACGCUGCCCGCUCGCGGCAAAAUCAGUUUUAUGACGCGGCGCAUGCGCGCCGACGUCAUAAUGAUUUUGCCGCGAAAAUUCAAACGCGGCCACGCUCCCGAACCUUUUGGGGGCGUGGCUUUAAAGUGACACACACAUUAGUAUAAAAGGGCAUUCCUGUCCACACCUCAGUGCCCUAGUGUGGUUCUUGAUUGUUCCCCUAGUGCUCUUUUACUGUUUAGCUGAUUUUCUGGUAUUUUGACUCUUGGCUUUCGUUCUGACUAUUCUCCUAUCUGGCUCCCUGACUUUUGGCUUGGUUUUUUCGUAUAUCCCGAUUUCCGUACUCCCUUGACCCUCGGCUUUUUCUUGACUAUUCUUUGACGUUAAGUCCGGCCACCCUAAGGUCCGGUAUACGUCCCUUUCAGGGUUACCAUCUGUGUGAAGGGGUCACUAUCGUGACAUUACACUAGGGCCAUGGACCCUGCAGGUGCUAAUCCUCAUGGCCCGGUUCCUGAUAAUCGGUUUGAGGAGCUGGACCAUCGUAUGGACCAGUUUGCUGUAGCCGUUCAGACCCUGUUAGCUCGGACUGCACAUCUACAGCCAGAGGACCAUAUUCCGGGUCUUAGACCUCAGGAACCUCAUUUGGAGAUGGCGGCAGGGGGAGCUUCUGCCCAUGCCACAUCCCCUCUCCGUUAUGGAGGUGAUCCCAAGGGUUGUCGGGGUUUCCUCAAUCAAAUAAGUAUUAACUUUGAACUUCAUCCUAGGGCAUAUCCUACCGAUAGAGCAAAGAUUGGUUAUAUUAUAACAUUGUUAGUCGAUAGAGCACUAGUUUGGGCUAAUCCAUUGUGGGAAAACGACAAUCCCAUAGUUUUCAACUACGCAGAGUUUGUCGCAGCCUUUAGAAGAACAUUUGAUCCCCCUGGGAGACGUACCAAUGCUGCUAAAACCCUAUUAUGAAUGAGACAAGGGUCUCGUUCCCUUGUGGACUGUGCCCUAGAAUUUCACACUCAUGCUGCAGAGGUCAGAUGGAAUGAGCAGGCCUUUGUAGAUGUGUUUAUGAACGGACUUUCUUACAAACUUUUAGAUGAGGUAGCCACCCGAGAUCUCCCUAAUGUGUUGGAAGAAUUAAUUACAUAUCUGGCACAUAUAGACGAACGUCUCAGACAUAGACAAAACACCAGGGAUAGACCUAGGCGUAUGCCGGAACGCCUGGCAUUAACGUUUCCUUCAUCUGAGGAAACCUCUGUCGCUCCAGUAGAACCCAUGCAACUGGGAGCCACACGGUUGUCUGAACCUGAGAGACAAUAUAGACGAAGGGAGGGACUUUGUAUGUAUUGUGGGAAAAGAGGACAUACCCGCUUACACUGCCCAAGCCGGCCGGAAAACUCCAACGCCUAAGCCCUCAAGGAGGACAGGCCUUGGGUGUAACGUGUAUGUCCUCCUUCCAAGAUAGAAAAUAACUCAGGCUUCUUCUACCGAUAACUAUAGAAUGGGAGAAAAAGUUAAUAAAUACUUCUGCGCUAAUAGACUCUGGGGCAGCUGAGAACUUUAUUGACCGUACUUUCGGCCAACACCACAACCUCCCAUUUCGAGAAAGAACACCACCCUUGGCCGUUGAGGCCAUAGAUGGUAGACCAUUAUCCAUUCCUUUUAUUACUCAAGAAUCCAAACCCUUAGUCUUGACUGUAGGUUCGUUGCAUAAAGAAACCAUAAUCUUACAGCAAAUACCUUCUCCUACCUUUCCGAUUAUACUUGGGUUUCCUUGGCUUACCAAGCAUAAUCCUCUAAUUAACUGGGAGAGGAAAGAGUUAGUAAAAUGGGGUGAUUCUUGUUUUAAGGAGUGUAUCAGUCGAGUUAAACCUAUAGGACUCCUCAACGUUCCUACCAUGGAACCAUUAACCACUCAAGUACCCGAACCAUAUCGGGAUCUCAAGGCAGUCUUUGAACAAAGGGAAGCAAACAAAUUACCACCCCAUCGUUCUUAUGACUGCGCUAUUGAUUUGUUGCCUGGUACUAUGCCCCCUAGGGGUACCGUGUAUCCCCUCUCUGUAACAGAAAACAAAGUACUGGAAGAGUACAUCACAGAAAAUUUGAAGAAGGGUUUUAUUACCAAAUCAUCCUCCCCGGCUGGUGCAGGGUUUUUUUUUGUUUCCAAAAAGGAAGGUGACCUAAGACCCUGCAUCGAUUAUCGGGGAUUAAAUAAAAUAACAAUACGAAAUGCGUAUCCUAUUCCGCUCAUUACUGAGAUUUUUGAUAGGUUAAAGGGUGCUACCAUAUUCACUAAACUAGACCUAUGGGGAGCUUAUAAUCUAGUUCGUAUUAAGAAGGGACAUGAGUGGAAAACGGCCUUCAAUACUCGCUAUGGCCAUUAUCAAUAUAGGGUUAUGCCCUUCGGUUUAUGCAACGCUCCGGCAGUCUUUCAAGAUUUUAUAAACGAUGUAUUAAGGGACUAUCUACAAAGGUUUGUUGUUGUUUAUUUAGAUGACAUACUCAUCUACUCUAAGAAUAUCAAGGAGCACCAUAGGCAUGUUAGAAUGGUAUUAUCCAAAUUAUUAAAGAACGGACUCUACUGUAAAUUAGAAAAAUGUUUAUUUGACGUGGAGAAGGUUAAUUUCUUGGGUUACAUAAUUUCCGGUUCCGGCUUUCAAAUGGAACCCAAAAAACUAGAAGCCAUUUUAAAUUGGCCCCUACCCGUUGGACUAAAAGCCAUCCAACGUUUCCUGGGGUUUGCUAAUUACUAUAGAAAGUUUAUCAGAGGAUUUUCCUCUAUUACCGCUCCUAUUACCGCUAUGACAAAAAAGAAUAGAAGUCAUACGGUGUGGAGUACUGAAGCUAAGGAAGCCUUUGAAAAAUUGAAGCUAGCCUUUUCUUCAGCCCCGGUGUUAAGUCACCCUAAUCCUUUGCGUCCUUUUUUGCUAGAAGUGGAUGCUUCUGAGACAGGGAUAGGAGCUGUACUCUCUCAGAGAUCCUCGAAUGACCAGCCCCUGCAUCCCUGUGGCUAUUUUUCUAAAAAACUGACGGAAACAGAACGAAGAUACGAUAUAGGUGAUAGGGAAUUGUUGGCUAUCAUUUCAGCACUCAAAGAAUGGCGGCAUCUAUUAGAGGGGACAUCUGAACCGAUCAUCAUCUUCACUGAUCACAAGAACCUCUCCUAUUUUGGAGAAGCUAAAAGAAUGACUGACAGGCAGAUUCGUUGGUCUUUGUUCCUAACACGUUUUAAUUACUUAGUGACAUACAGACCCGGUUCUAAGAAUACAAAAGCAGAUGCCUUAUCUCGGCAACAUGAGCACAUAUCCCCACCAGUAACCCAUUUAUCUUCUAUAAUCCCUACUUCACAAAUAGUGGCUACAGUACAUACUAAAAUCUCUUCUAGCUUAAUAGAAGUAUUGUCUAAAUGUCAAAACCACAACUCCUGACUAUCCCUCAGGGGAAAUUAUACGUACCCUUCAAUUAUAGAAGACGAAUCCUAUCCUUGGUACACGACUCUAAGAUUGCUGGUCAUCCCGGUAUCCAUAAAACAGAAGCACUACUCGAAAAGCAAUUCUGGUGGCCUUCUUACAAGAAGGACAUUCGAGAAUAUGUCCUGGCCUGUAACAUUUGUUCCUCUAGUGUGAUGGGAUUCCAGCAUGGUUAAAAUUUAGUAGGCCAAAAUCUCCAUGUGGCAUAUGUGUAUGUUGUGUCAGUUGGUUAGCUACAUGUAGCUAGGAUACUGUCAUCAGUGUACUGAGCAUGUGCAGGAAUGCAGGAACUGAAAUUGCACUUAUUUCCUUUGUCUUGGAUGAGCCAUGUGGUUUGACUAGAUGUACAAGUCUAUAUUCUGCUCAUUGAUUGGUUAAAGGUAUAUGUGGGUGUAGCUAUUAAUGGGAGGAGUUAUAGUGUUAUAUAAGGAAUGUACACUAUGUGUUGGUCUCUCAGAUCCUUUGGAACAGGAGUUCAUCUGAGACCCGAUCGGUAAUGUGAAUAAAGGCCUGUUACUUCCUGAAGACCUGUGUCCAAUAUUUCUGUGUUUGGCUUCUGCAUGCUUACACUGCAACAUUUCUGGUGCAAUUGGGCCGGGAACCUCAUCGCACGGAAGCUGGCACAGAGAUUUGAGACGGUAAACUUUUACCAAACCUUCUACGCUACAAUCCUGGACUUCUACUGCGUGGACCUCCUUUCGUCUCGGCGCCACUGGCCUUUUGUCCAGGAGAUCAUCGGCUUCUGCGCAGUGAGUCCCGGAUUGUUCCGUCUAUGAGUGAACCCAGGUCCAGUAAUUAACAGGUGAGAUUGAUACCGUUAGAGCGGUAGACCCACAAGGGGUUUUAUAUUUGGAACCGGUUAUUGGAAUCUGCCCUGUCCUUAUGGAUGGAAGAAGUGAAAGCGCAACACUUAUCUGGAAAUUAGACGCUCUGUAGUCAGCCCGUCUAAUAUAGGUGGUUUGGGUCAGACUGAGUUCUGGUGUAAAUAGCUCAUGUCGGACACCGGUGUCCUGUCUUGACUAGCGUAUCUAGGGUGUAAAUUUUGUUCGCUAGGUCGGGGGGACCGGGAGACUAGCAUACUCUGUUGUAUAUUAUAGUUUGCUAGAUUUCACCCUAUCUUAACUAAGUGUGCUCUGUUGUAAAUCCAGCCACUAGCUUAUUGAUAGUUUAAUAGACUAGCUGGGUACUGUGUAAAUUCUGCCCUCUAGUUCGCUAUACGUGGUGUCUGGGCAGCGAAGAACUUAUCGAAUCUCUGGUGUAUAAAUAGAUCGAAAGCUCUCGAGGUGCUGGCCAGUUAGAAUAGUUGGGAUUAUUGUAAAUGUUGUUAAAUAUAUUGUAGUUGGUGAAUUGGUUAACUUGUAUGUCCUACUAGAAAGUUAGAGCUCUGCUGUCUAGUGGGAGUGUAAAUUGUGUGUAUAACUGUAAAAUAGCGCACGGUACCAUAACUACUGACAUGUACCAUAACCACUGACAUUGUGUAAAAAUUACUAACAAUUGCUGUUUUAUGUUAUUUGUAUAAUACCAUAACUGUUACUAACUGAUCUGUGACUUUAAAACUGUAUUAUAACCACUUACUAACUGUACCAUAACCACUGACUGUAAAGAUGAGGUUACUAGAAUGUGAUAUAGUUGGUUAGUCAAGAGUUGAUUUAUAGUACAGAUAAUUGUAGAGAUGAAAUCUGUUGAAAUGUUAUGUGAUCGGUUAGUUUAUAUGGAUUAAUAGCGUGGAUAGUUGUAUGGUUUGAAUAAUAGUUACAUUGAUGAGUGUAUAGUCUUUGGUGGGUUUUUGAUUUAAUUUCGUGUGUGCGACGUCGUGAUAUUGUUGAGCAUGUGAGGAUCCUGUGUGUGUGUUUGGGCCUAGUGACUGCGCAAUGUGUUGCUGGUGAUAAGGAGAUUGGUGUGACUGUUGAAACUGUGUGUCUAUUUGUACAGCUUUUUGAAUCAGAUGCUCUGUUGAAAUAAUCUUCUGAUUCACAAGGCUUUGUCUUGUAUGUUUAAAAAAAUUAAAAAAAAAAAAAAAGUAGGGAGUAGCUUGUCCUGGUGGCCGCAUGGCCUCCAUGUAGCAGUCUUCACUUAAAUUUAGUGCAGGGUGUACAUGUGGCUGUAACUAGUAGGCUGGAAUUCUAUGAUCAGUUUCUAUAAAUUGACUGUUGGAAACUGAUUUGUUGAAAAAUUGCCUUGGUGAAUUAAACUGUGUCAUAUGGGAAACAAUGUAGCCAUAUGGUGGUCAGAACUAAGGACUUAAUUACAACUGCUUUGGACAUCCCCUCCCCCCCUGGCAUCUGAUUACCAACCCCCCAAACAUCCUCCAGAGCUAGAGUAGCCACGCCCCCAUUCUUCCUCCCAACACUGGAUAGUCAGUAUUUGCACUCCCCCUGCUCUACUGUCCCCGCCUACCCACAUACCUAUCUGUUCCUGUGUUUCAAACUCUUGUAUUUCUGUACUACCCCUCCCCCUAAUCAAUGAUCAAUGGUAUCAGAUGGUAUAUUGGUUUUUUUUAGUUACUGGAUGGGCCCCUCCCAGCUUUGUCCAAAAUGUCCCCUUUUACUAAACUACAAACUGAGAUGUUUAAUUUACUUUAGAACUAAAGAUUUAAUCAAGCCUAGAUAUCAGGGUGGACAUUGAUUAAAAUAAGUAAUAAUAAAAUAGGACAUAAUUAAUUAAAGUCUAUUUGUUUCAUUUGACUUUAGGGAGGCACUCUAGGCCACCUACUGGCCAUCUUCGGGAGUUACAUUGAUAAUACAUUGUUUAUAACAGAUAGAUGUAGGAUUGCUUACCCUAUUUUAAUAUAUUUAUUGCUAUAAGGUUUUAUUUUAUGUAUAAAUAUAUUAAAAGUUGAGUUUUCUUAUUAGACCCAUAAAGAUUAUUUUGAUACAAUUACCCUCUGGUGACACCUACUGGUAGGUUUUUGGUUUAACACUUUAAAAAAAACAAAAACGUUUUUUCAUCCACCAAAUGCUGACUAAUAAAAUUAUCUUACUACUCCUAGACUGGAACCUAUUAUUGGGCAGCCUUGCCGAAGUCCCAUAUUAGACACUGCUUGAGUCAAAUAGAUUGUACACUCCUUUCAAUCCUGAAAACUUCCGAAUUAUAGACUCAGCAUUUGUCAGCCAGGCCCAAGGUGAUAGUAAUAGGGAGACAGAGGUAAAGUGGGAGCAAGAACGUAAAAUGAGGAAAAAGGCAGAUAUGCUAGCGGUAGCUAUCUUAAGUGUAGAAAGACAGGGAAGUGAAUAGAGGAGACGAGAAUAGGCUGAGCAAGGGACUUUAAGUAGGAAUUAAUGUGCGUAUUGUAGAAAGGAGGGACAUUGGAAGAGUGAGUGUCCACAGAGAGAGCAGUAUGAAGGUGAUAGACAGGAGAGAGAAGGGUAUGAGGAGGUUAUAGUGGUAGUUAUAGAGUAAGAGGAAGUUUUAGAGGGAAUGAUGGGAAUAGUAGAGGAAGUGUUCAAGGAGACAGAUACUAUCCACCCACGCAGAGACCUAGAGAAAGAGAGGAUAGAGAUUUUGUGGGUCUGGCUGACACUAUCAUGGAAGACUAUUGAUACCGACUGGGCUCCAUCCCACUUGGUCGAGCGGAGCCUAUGGUCGAUGUAGCAAUAGGGGGAAAGAGAAGUUCUUUCAUGAUCGACACAGGUGCUGAACAUUCUGUGGUGACUAAGAUGGUGGCUCCGCCUUCGGGGAAGACUAUAACUGUGAUAGGAGCUACUGGGAGAAGUGCAGCUAGACCGGUUCUUAAGAGUCGCACUUGUAUUCUGGGAGGCCAUGUGGUGAAGCAUUAGUUCCUAUAUAUGCCAGAGUGUCCGAUUCAACUUUUAGGACGAGAUCUAUUAUCGAAGCUUUAAGCUCAGAUAACCUUUUACCUAAUGGAUUAACAUCUCUGAAGUUUAAGGGAUUACCAGGCAUAAUGGCGAUAUCGGUGCCAAGGGAAGAAGAAUGACGCUUCUAUUCCAUAGUGACAAGUGUUAACCCUAAGAGUGAUGAAUCCUUACUUGACAUUCCAGGAGUAUGGGAAGAAAAUAAUCCUCCAGGACUUGCUCGUAAUAUCCCACCAAUACAUAUUGAGUUAAAGCUCGGGGUGUAUCCUGUUAGCCUUUGUAUGUUGUUCUUUUAUCUACCCCAACAGCUGUAAAGGUGGCGGAAGUGACUCCUUGGAUUCAUCAUUCUAAGGUUAAACCAGCAGCAGACUCUUGGCAAACUACUCCAGAUCCUGAGAAUCCUUGCAGGACCCGGUUGAAGCGUGCAACUCAGUCGGAGUGACGAGGGGAUAUCGAGACAUUCUAGUUAAAAGUCUACAAAGAUCAUCAAGUAGGUGUUUUGACGGCCAUAAUAAAGCCUGACCACCUGCCUACGUGUCAUAGCCAGAGUAUCUUGAAGGGAUCUCUGUGAAGGAAAGUGAGGAUCAGAAGAACAACAUCCUUGCAGCCCUCACAAUCGGGAAGCUGAGAGGCCAUCGCACGGUCGAAGAAAAAUGAGGAUUUCAGGAAUAAUGUGUUUUAUUGUGUCUUAGUAUUUUUAUGAUUUUUCAGGAAGGUAGGAGUACAGACAUACCGAAUUGCGAUAGUUGCAUUAAGACUACUAAAACAGGUAACCAAAUAUCCCAAACUCUCAUCUGGCACUCACAGUAUGAAUGUAAGGGAUCUGUAUCUAAAUGUAGAUAUUUGGAUAUUGAUUAUAGUGUGUGCAAGCCAAUAUCAGGAGAGUCUAAAUGUUUUGAUCCCCAUUUCCAACCCCGUACAAUUUGGUUGGUAAUUCGGAAUAGUAACUCCCAGGGGACAUUAAUAAAUAGGACUGUGAUAAGCACCAUACAUUCCACGGGUAUUCUACUAUUUGAUGCAUGUAAGGCGAUUUCGGGUAGUGGAAGACUUUGGAAUGUAUGUGGUAAUCUUAAAUGGGAACGAACUUAUGGGUUUAAUGAUAAAUACUUAUGUCCCAGUAUAAGAUCUACUGAUCCUGAUUGCCCAAAUAGAGACUAACUUCUGCCCCUAUUUGUCAUGUGUAGGUUGGGCAACCUGGGAAAAACAGUGGAUCAAGAUAUGAUUAUCCAAAGGUUGCCUACCACACCAUACUGUAAAACUAUGUGUGUAACCCCGUUCACAUGACCAUUUCCAAUCUGCAGUACUUUAUUGACAGGUUUGGAGGUCUGUUUGGGUUUCAAAUAUAUGGCACAGGAGUAGAUUCAGGAACAAUAAUAUAUGUAGGUCUUGAAACUGAGACAGUGGCAACUCAAACUCAUCAGGUUUCUCAUUCCUUCUAUGAGGAGAUGAGUAUUGAGGAUAAAAUUCCCCAUAAUGUUAACAACCUAUUUAUUGAUUUGGCUGAGAGUAUUGCAGGUAGUCUUAAUGUAACUAAUUGCUAUGUGUGUGGAGGUACUAAUAUGGGAGACCAGUGGCCAUGGGAGGCAAAGGAAAUAUGGUACCCUGGCUCUGAGACAUAUGAACAACAGAUACCUUUCCAGUCUGAUCAUCAAGUAAGUACUAGAAGUAAAUUGGAAUGGUGGUUAAAACCCUCCAUUAUAGGUCAUGUUUGUAUAGCCAGGAAAGGGACAAUGUAUAACACGUCUGUAGGUGAGCUAACGUGCUUGGGACAAAAAGCCUAUAAUGUUAAUACUAAAAUACUACUUGGUGGUCAGCUUCAAAUGUCUCGGAACCUACUAAUCCGUUUGCCAAUUACACUCAUUUAAAGGAGGUAUGGUUUGACUUAUCGGCUACAUCUAGUUGGAAAGCCCCAGCAAAUUUAUACUGGAUCUGUGGUAAGAAAACUUAUUUGGAGUUACCACAAGAUUGGGAAGGGGCAUGUGUAUUAGGUAUGCCAAAGCCAUCCUUCUUCUUGUUGCCAAUUGAAACAGGAGAGACCUUGGGAGUUAAGGUUUACGAUGUAAAUCAUAAAAGGGAGAGAGCAUCCUUGAAUAUAGGUAGCUGGGAAGAUAAUGAGUGGCCCCCUCAAUGUAUUAUUAAUUAUUAUGGACCUGCUACUUGGGCAGAAGAUGGCACUUAUGGAUAUAGAACUCCGAUUAUAUAUGCUCAACCGCAUUAUUAGACUACGGGCGGUAGUUGAGAUUAUUACUAAUGACACAGCUCAAGUGCUUAAUCUUCUAGCUAAGCAAAAUAUCAAGAUGUGAUCAGCCAUAUACCAGAAUAGGCUAGCCCUUGAUUACUUACUAGCAGUAGAAGGAGGUGUAUGCGGAAAGUUUAAUCUAAGUAACUGUUGUCUGCACAUAGAUGAUGAAGGGCAGGCAGUGGCUGAACUUACAAACCACAUGGUUAAAUUUGUGCAUGUACCUACUCAGGUCUGGAAUGGGUAUAACCUAAGUAGUUGGUUUGGAAGUUGGUAUGAGCAGCUUGGAGG